rnacentral:lncRNA from 1 species
AGCAUUUGAAAUGAACUCUGAAACCAAAGUACAUACAUAGUUCUCCAGAGCAUUAAAACCAAAGUACAUACAUAGUUCUCAUUGAACAACAUAUAGCUCUCGAGAGCAUCUAAUUAAACCAUACAUUGAAAUUAUGUAAAACAUUUCAAUGAAAACCAAAUGCGAUCAUAACCGCAACCAAGGCAACAACUGAUCCAACUGCAUAAUGAUACCAAGCCUCGGUAUGAAUGGCAUAUUUUCUAAUCUUUUUAAUCUUCAACCGCACUGCAUCCAUCUUGAUCUUGUGAUCAUCAACGACAUCCGCAACAUGCAACUCCAAUAUCAUCUUCUCCUCCUCAAUUUUUCUUAUUUUUUCCGUCAAGUAAUUGUUUUCUUCUUCAACUAAAUUUAACCUCUCGACAAUAGGGUCAGUUGGAAUUUCCGGUUCAACAACCUCCUAGAUAAAUAAAAUCUAUGUCACAUUGGUCGGCAUAAUUGUCAUAAACAAUAAAUGAACCAAAUAGUUAAGAAAAGAUAAUAUAUACCACAUCUGAAUCAUAGAUACCAAAACCACCGCACUAUAUAAUAACAAGGAAUAAUAAAAGUAAGAAAAUUAGACAAGUAUCUAUCUGAAGUCAGAAUUUUUUUCUUUCAGAAAGAAGAUAAGAACAAGAGGCUCACCACGGUGGUGCCGGCGACGAGAUCGGCGCGGGCGAUCGACGGCGGUGAAGACGGGACGGGGAUGGGGCGUGACGGACCGCUAAAUCUAGACAGAUCUCGUUGAAAAUGGAGCUCGGAGGUUGAGUUUCGAGAGGAGAAAGCUUAACUAGUAUGGCUCUUGCAUUUCAUCUGUUGGAGCAUAUAUUGAGCAUAUAUCUCCAUAUGUGGUUUUGGUACUUGAUGACAAUUCCUAUGGACUAAUGGUUGCCUUAAGUUACAUUUAUAGGAUUUGUCCAUAGGCACUUCUUGAAGUCCAUCUGUUGGGUUCAAGGAGUUUAUAUGAUGACCAAGAUGGUAUUCAAGGUAUUAUCCAAAGAAUGGUCAUAGAGACACAUGGUUGAUCAAGAUCUCAGACAAAGAGUAAAUCAAGAUGAUCAACACACAAAGCGUACAAGAUGUAUCGAGAGGGAUCAAGUGAUCCCAUGGUAUGGUAAGCAUUAUCCAUUACGUGUUUGUGUACUAACCCAUGGUCUUCGUGAGAGUUCUAUGUGGGGGUUAGGUGUGUUUCCAUGGGCUUGCGUCAAAAGGAAGAUCUCAUACAACCCAUGGAUUAUGACGUCAAGUUGUGAUCGUCAUCAAGAUUGCGCUGUGCAAGUUCAAGUGGAUCAGCACGAAGAUAGCAUGCUUGAAGCUUGCCGUCCAUUGUGGUGGCAAUGGACUUGUGAAGAUAUGCUGAAGAGUGGCUCACCCAUAGUGAGUAUGGGGGAGCAAUCAACUAGUCUUCAUCAAGCCAACACAAUCAAGAAAGGUGGUCCAUCUUGAGGAAGCCAAGAUCAUCAUCAUCUAGCUCAAGAGGACGAGGUGCAAGGUAUAGGUUUGCCCUUGAUAGGUUCUCUGGUUAGGAUAGAUUGAUGUUCUAUCAAGGGGGGCUCUCAAGUGAGUAGCUUGAUCGUAUCGUUCGUUGAGAGCUCAAACCAUUUGCAUUCUUGCAUCAUACUUCUUGGUUCUUGUUUGGUGUUUCUCUUUGUGAGUUUUAGAGCUUAUGGUCAUCUUCGUGACAAGCUCGAGUUCAUCGAAAACGGAGUCCAUAUGCAUCUACUAUGAUGUUUUCGAUGUUGGAGUUUUUGCCGGUUCUUCAUUCAUAGAGAUCUCACAUCUCUAUAUCUUUGGCAUAUUCAUAACCGCAUGGUCUUAAGAUUUCCCUUGUCGUCCUGAAUCCAACAAGCUUGGGUUUGCUCGAUUCGGAGCUCGUAUGCGAAAGUUAUGGCUGUUUCAGUGGCGAGCGGUAGUACCGCUGGACCUAGAGGUAGUACCGCUAGAGUUGGCGGUAGUACCGCUGGCCCUAGCGGUAGUACCGCUGGCUCGCGGUAGUACCGCCCCUGGUCAGCGGUAGUACCGCUCCAGGAGCUUAGUACCGCCUGCCUAGCGGUUGUUCAUGGACGGACCUUUUUGCUAAGACUUUCUUGACGGUGGUAGUGCCUUUGCACUACCAGGGGCCCAGCGGUAGUACCGCUGCAGCUAGCGGUAGUACCUCUGCAGCUAGCGGUAGUACCGCUAGCUGGUGGUAGUACCGCUGGAGUGCCAGCGGUAGUACCGCUGCAGCCAGCGGUAGUACCGCUGGAGCUCGGGCAGAGAGUGGGGGGUAACGGUCUGAUUCUUCCCCCCACUAUGUAAAGGGGGUCUUCUUCCCCCUUGCCUUAUCCAUCUGUUGAGCUCUUGUUCUAUCUCCAUUGUUGACAUUCUUAGAGCUUGAUUACUCUCUAUCCCUCCAAUGAUUCUUGCUUGUUCUUGAGGGAAAAGAGAGAGGAGAUCUAGAUCCACAUAUCCACCAAUCACUUUCUCCUCUAUGUGAGGGGAACCCCUUGGAUCUUGAUCUUGGAGUUCUUUGUGAGCUCCUUGUUCUUCCUCUCAUAUUUCUCCAUAGCUUUUGUUGUUGUGGAGGGAUUUGAGUGAGAGGGACUUGACCACUUCGUGUGUUCUUGCCAUUGCAUUAGUUGCAUCGGUUUGAGUUCUCCAUGGUGAUACGUGGAAGUGAGAAGUUGAGAAGCUUACUACCUUUGGUACUUAGUACCCUUGAUAUUGUUCUUCGUGGAUGCUUUGGCGUCCUAGAAGCUUGGUGGUGUCUCGGAGCUCAAUCAGUGUGGUGUGAAGCUCCGGCAAGCGUCGGGGUCUCCAAUUAGGUUGUGGAGAUUGCCCCGAGCAAUUUGUACGGGUACCGGUAACCGCCCCCAAGGGUUGCCACGUGUACGGGUUCGGUGACCGCCCCCAAGGGUUGCCAUUUGUACGGGUUCGGUGACCGCCCUCAAGGGUCCCUUAGUGGAAUCACGGCAUCUUGCAUUGUGCGAGGGCGUGAGGAGAUUACGGUGGCCUUAGUGGCAUCUUGGGGAGCAUUGUGCCUCCACACCGCUCUAACGGAGAUUAGCAUCCGCAAGGGUGUGAACUUCGGGAUACAUCAUCGUCUCCCCGUGCCUCGGUUAUCUCUUACCCGAACCCUUUACUUAUGCACUUUACUUUGUGAUAGACUUAUUCUUUAUUGUAAUAUAUCUUGCUAUCACUUAGUUGUUUAUCUUGCUUAGCAUAAGUUGUUGGUGCACAUAGGUGAGCCUAGUUGUUUGUAGGUUUUGUGCUUGACAUAUUAAACGAUUAGUUUUAUUCCGCAUUUGUUCAAGCCUAAACCUUAACUAUUUUAAAGCGCCUAUUCACCCCCCCCUCUAGGCGACAUCCACGUCCUUUUCAUCAUCGAACACCUCAUGUGCAUAGGAGGUGAACUAGAGCACCCAAAUGCCCUCCUCUCGCCGGCUUGACAAAAACAGAGCACUGUGGAGUGCUCUGCCGCGGCGGUGGAUAUAUGUAGGCAAGUUAUUUGUCCCGGUUCAAGUCACGAACCGGGACCAAUGGUUGUGGGCCAGCAGCGAGGACCAUUGGUCCCGGUUCGUGGCUCGAACCGGGACAAAUGGUUCCACACAAACUGGGACCAAUGCCUAUGAUGCCCCGGCCGGCCCCUUGGGCUCACGAACCGGGUCUAAUACCCUCCAUUGGUCCCGGUUCUUAAAGAACCGGGACUAAUGGGCUGGCCAGGGCCGAAACGAUAGCCCUGUUUUCUACUAGUGAAUGCAGAUUUUAAGUCGUGGUCGGGACCGGUCGGGCCUAGUUGGGUUAUUUCAGGCUUGGACCAGGCCUGGGCCUAAUAUUUAACCGUAUGGCCGGGCCAGGCCGGGUUCAAGCCUGUUUUUUUUUGCGGGGUAGGGUUUUCAUCACCAUGCUUUUUUCGUCCGACCCGAAGCCCGUCCCAGCCCGAAGCAUGCCCAGGUAUAGUACAACCUUGAUGAAACACACCACAUGACAUGAAUAAAGUGUCGUCUCUUAUUCAUUUCUUUCCUUGCAAAACAAUCAUCGUUGGGGCCACGUACUUACAAGACUUAUAUCUGAAACUAUAAUCAUCAUCAUAUGGUACAGAUAAAGAAUCCGCGCAGUUUACCAAAGCAAUGCCGACGCCGUGAUGUGUCGCCGCCGGCCUCCGUGGUGAGCAAUCAAAACUUGACGAGAAGGAAAAAAAGACAUGCACGAGCCCCGGUCCCGUUCGUCCCCUCACCUGACAGCGCCGCUCCACCAAAUCAUGUCGUUUGCCCUUCCCUUUCCUUCCUUCCUUCACACGCACUCCCCACCAGAAAGAAAAAAAAAAAGACAACGUACGUACACCGUACCCUCCCGCCUAAUGCUACGACGAAUCUCGAGGAGUUCGUUCGUUCGUGGUAGUUUAUUAGUUGGGUUUCCGGCAGUUGUUGCGGAUCUCGCCGUUGGAUCCGGUGAGCGGACUGAUGUUGCCCAUCUUGAUCAUGGCGGUGAUGAAGUCGGCGGAGAAUGCGCCGCCGUUGCCGGCGUACUGCUGCGCGAUGGAGUCGACGGGCCCGCCGUUGAAGAGCUCCUGGUCCGAGUGGAGGAGGCCGAAGCGGCUCAGCAGGUUGCGGAAGUAGCCGUUGUCGAAGCGCACAGAGCUGAAGGCGUCCAGCGGAGCCAGGUUGCCGUCGCCCACGCCGCCCUGCGCCGGGCACACCUGCCGCCGCCGCRUMGUMGAACCCGGCGUUGAUGUUGCUGUCGUUGUNNNNNNNNNNNNNNNNNNNNNNNNNNNNNNNNNNNNNNNNNNNNNNNNNNNNNNNNNNNNNNNNNNNNNNNNNNNNNNNNNNNNNNNNNNNNNNNNNNNNGACGGCGACCCCCAAUGAUGCAACGAAGGUACAUCGCGAUGACACGAUUCAGUGUCUCCGAUUGCCCAUCGGACUGCGGAUGGAAGGUCGAACUCAUGUGCAAGCGUGUUCCCACGACUGCAAAGAAAGCCUUCCAAAAUCCCGAAGUGAACACCACAUCUCUGUCCGAAACGAUGGAUGUUGGAAAUCCAUGAAGGUGGACAAUGUUGGAGAAGAAGGCGUUAGCACCAGACUCAGUAGUGUACGGAUGCGCCAAAGGAAUAAAAUGUGCAUACUUGAAAAAACGGUCCACUACGAUAAGAAUAACACUAUUACCGCCCACCUUUGGUAGUGCCUCAAUGAAAUCCAUGGAGAUGUCUUCCCAGACACGAGAUGGAGCUAUCAAAGGUCGUAGCAGGCCAGCCGGAUGAAGCUACUCCGUCUUGUCGCGUUGACAAACCGGACAAGCACGGAUGUACUGCUGAAGUGCCGCCCUUGCUUGAGGCAGAUGGAAAUCCAUGCGUAGACGAUGAAACGACUUUUGGAUGCCUUCAUGGGCCGCAUCGUGAGCUACAUCGAGGACCUUACCGACCAGCUGGGCCACGAGUGGCACAUAAGCCUUCUGCUGAAAGGUAACAAUGCCAUCAACGAGAGCCCAAGGCUAUCCCAACUCAUGAGACUCCAGCUGUUCCCUGAAUGUGACAAGCGUCGUGUCAGUGUGGGUGGAUUCACAGAGAGCUUCAAAUAGAUCAAAGGAAGGCCAGACAAUGGUGAGCGCAUGGCCUCUAGGAGCAUCACGGCAAGAAAGAGCGUCAACGACGAUGUUUUUGCAACCUGGUUUGUAUUCCACAGUGAAGUCGAACCCCAAUAGCUUACCCACCCAAUGAUGCUGGGGGAUGGUAUCAGGCGUUGAUCCAGCAGAAACUUAAGGCUGUAGCGGUCAGUUUUGACGACGAAAGCACGCCACGAAGAUAGGGCCGCAAAUGGCGCACGACGUGCACCAGCAAUGAGCUCUCGCUCAUACGGGGCGAGAGAGGCAUGGCACAGAGCGAUGGUCUUGCUGAAAUAGGCAAUCGUCACCUGAAUUGGCACCUGAAUCGGACUGAACCGACUGUUUGUCAGGCUACUGUUCUCCCGUCGCCCUCAUGCAGUACUCACAGAAACCGGACCCAGAUGCGUCACAUUCCACAAUAAACGAAAUAACAAAAUCUGGUAACCGAAGCACUCGUGCUGUGGUAAGAGCAGUUUUGAGAGUCUCAAACGCGAUGAUUGCCUCAUAUGUCGAGAGAAACCCACCUGCCUUGAGUAGCAUUGUGAGGGGUGUUGCAAUGGUGCCGAAAUCCCGGAUGAACUUUCGAUAGUAGCCGGCAAGACCCAAGAUACCACGCACAGCUCGGACAUUGCGCGGAACUAGCCAGUACACCACGGCGAGAACCUUAUCACUGUCCAUUGUAACUCCCGCUGCAGAGAUGACGUGACCAAGGUAGGCCAUAGAUUCCUCCCCAAAUGAGAACUUGGAGCGUUUGAGAAAAAGCUGAUGUGUGAGCAUAGCCUCCAAGACGAGCUUGACAUGACGAAGAUGAUCCAACCAGGAAGAGUUGUAUACCAAAAUGUCGUCAAAGAAAACAAGCACAAACCGACGAAGGAAGGGGCAGAGUACUUUGUUCAUUAGUUCUUGGAACAUCGCUGGAGCGUUGGUCAGACCUAAAGCCAUCAACACAAACUCAAAGAGGCCCUCAUGGGUGUGGAACGCCAUCUUGUGGAUAUCUUCAAGGGACAUCCGAACUUGGUGGUAACCGGACCGGAGAUCCAGUUUGGUGAAAAAUCGGGUGCCUUUAAGCUCAUCCAGCAGUUCAUCGACAACUAGAAUAGGGAACUUGUCCUUGAUGGUGACAAGGUUGAGUCCCGGAUAAUUGAUGCAGAAACACCAAGUACCAUCAUGCUUUUUGACAAGGAGAACGAGUGACGAAAACGCCAAGGAACUAUGACGUAUAAGACCACGAGCCAACAUCCAAGCACAUUGUCUCUCCAGUUCAUCCUUUUGAAUCGUCGGGUAGCGGUAGGGUUGUACAGCGACGGGCUGAGUCCAAGGGAUAAGGUGAAUAUGAUGGUCAUUGGUGUGCGGCGAUGGCAGGCCCUAGGGGUCGGCGAAGACGUCGGUGAAGGUGGACAGGAGGAGGUCAAGGAGGUCCUUUCCAUCGCACACAUGUAAAUGGGUAGGCCGUCCGGGUGAGCCCAGUGGUGAACACUCCACGCGAUUAUUUGAGUGUCAUAAUGACAUCCACUAGGUACUAAAAAUCCCAUAGAAUUGGCCCGAGAUUUUCGAGAAAACGCGUGCCAAGGCCGAUGUCGAAUCUGCCCAAUGGUAUGUCGUGCAGGUCGACAAUACCACGCUCUUUGUCAACCGUGAUAGCAGCCUCCUAAAGGAGUCUGAGGUAGGUCACCUUAUCACCAUUAGCGACCGUGACUCCGAGGCAGCGGUCGGAGGAAAAAGUCAGUCCCAAGACGGUGGCCAAUUCUUCAUGGAUGAAGUUAUGAGUACUACCAGUGUAGAGCAUCUUUAUAGUCACCCAGUUACGUUGCGACGUUUGAUACACACAAAGCAUUCCUCCGGUGUCAGUGAGUUAUAUGAUCUCAUGGUCAUAGGAACAAAUACUUGACACGCAGAAAACAGUAGCAACAAAAUGAUACGAUCAACAUGCUACGUCUAUUAGUUUGGGUCUAGUCCAUCACAUGAUUCUCCUAAUGAUGUGAUCCCGUUAUCAAGUAACAACACUUGCCUAUGGCCAGGAAACCUUGACCAUCUUUGAUCAACGAGCUAGUCAACUAGAGGCUUACUAGGGACAGUGUUUUGUCUAUGUAUCCACACAAGUAUUGUGUUUCCAAUCAAUACAAUUAUAGCAUGGAUAAUAAACGAUUAUCAUGAACAAAGAAAUAUAAUAAUAAUUAAUUAUUAUUGCCUCUAGGGCAUAUUUCCAACAGUCUCCCACUUGCACUAGAGUCAAUAAUCUAGUUCACAUCACCAUGUGAUUUCAACGAAUCCAACACCCAUAUAGUUCUGGGGUCUGAUCACGUCUUGCUCGUGAGAGAGGUUUUAGUCAACGGUUCUAAAACUUUCAGAUCCGUGCGUUCUUUACAAAUCUUUAUGUCAUCUUAUAGAUGCUGCUACUACGUGCUAUUCGGAAAUGCUCCAAAUAUCUACUCUACUAUACGAAUCCGUUUCACUACUCAUAGUUAUUCGGAUUAGUGUCAAAGCUUGCAUCGACGUAACCCUUUACGACGAACUCUUUAACCACCUCCAUAAUCGAGAAAAAUUCCUUAGUCUAUUUAGUUACUAAGGAUAACUUUGACCGUUGAUCAGUGAUUUAAUUCAGGAUCACUCUGUGUACCUCUUAACAGACUUGCUGCAAGGCACACAUCAGGUGCCGUACUCAGCAUGGCAUACUUUAGAGUCUACGGCUAAGGCAUAGAAGACGACCUUCGUCUAUUCUCUUUAUUCUGCCGUGGUCGGGUUUUGAGUCUUACUCAAAUUCACACCUUACAACACAGUCAAGAACUCCUUCUUUGCUGAUCUAUUUCGAAUUCCUUCAAAAACUUGUCAAGGCAUGCAUCUUGUUGAAACUUCUAUUAAGCGUUUUGAUCUAUCUCCGUAGAUCUUGAUGCUCAACGUUCAAGUAGCUCAAUCCAGGUAUUCCUUUGAAAAACUCCUUUCAAACAACCUUUUAUGCUUCACACAAAUUCUACAUUAUUUCUGAUCAACAAUAUGUCAACCACAUAUACUUAUCAGAAAUCCUAUAGUGCUCCCACUCACUUCAUUGGAAAUACAAGUUUCUCAUAAACCUUGUACAAACCCAAAAUCUUUGAUCAUCUCAUCAAAGUGUAUAUUCCAACUCCGAGAUGCUUGCACCAGUCCAUUGAAGGAUCGCUGGACCUUGCAUACUUGUUAGUAUCUUUAGGAUCGACAAAACCUUCUGGUUGUAUCACAUACAAUGUUUGCUCAAGGAAACCGUCGAGGAAACAAUGUUUUGACAUCCUAUGUGCAAUAUUUCAAAAAUAAUGCAAAAACUACUAACAUAAUUCUAACAGAAUUUAGCAUCGCUACGUGUGAGAAAGUCUCACCAUAGUCAACUGUUUGAUCAUGUCGGAAACAUCUUUGCGACAAGUCGAGCUUUUGUUUUCCUUUUAAAGAUCCAUAUUUACUCAAUAGUCCUACGAACAUCAAGUAGUUCUUCCAAAGUCUACACUUUGUUUUCAUACAUGGAUCAUCUCUCGGAUUUCAUGGCCUCCACCCAUUUGUCGGAAUCCGGGCCCACCAUCGGUUCUCCACAGCUCGUAAGUUCAUUAUUGUUCAACAACAUGACCUCCAAGACAGGGUUACCAUACCACUCUGUAGUAGUACGCGACCUUGUCGACCUACGAGGUUUGUAGUAACUUGAUCCGAAGCUGAAUGAUCACCAUCAUCAGCUUCCACUUCAAUUGGUGUAGGCGCCACAGGAACAACUUCCUGUGCCCUGCUACACACUAGUCGAAGUGAUGGUUCAGUAACCUCAUCAAGUUCUAUCACCCUCCCACUCAAUUUUUUCGAGAGAAACCUUUCCUCAAGAAAGAACCCGUUUCUAGAAACAAACGCUUUGCUUCCGGAUCUGAGAUAGGAGAUGUAUCCAACUGUUUUGGAUAUCUUAUGAAGAUGCAUUUAUCCGCUUUGGGUUCGAGCUUAUCAGACUAAAACUUUUUCACAUAAGCAUCGCAGCUCCAAACUUUCAAGAAACGGCAGCUUAGAUUUCUCUAAACCUUAGUCUAUACUGUGUCAUCUCAACGGAAAUACGUGGUGCCCUAUUUAAAGUGAAUGUGGUUGUCUCUAAUGCAUAACCCAUAAACGAUAGUGGUAAUUUGAUAAGAGACAUCAUAGUAUGCACCAUAUCAAAUAGGGCGUGGCUAAGAUGUUUAGACACAUCAUCAAACUAUGGUGUUCCAGGUGGCAUGAACUGCGAAACAAUUUCCACAUUGUCUUAACUGCGUACCAAAACUCGUAACUCAGAUAUUCAUCUCUAUGAUCAUAUCGUAGACUGUUUAUCCUCUUGUCACGACGAUCUUCACUCUAAAAUAGCUUUGAACUUUUCAACAUUUCAGACUUGUGAUUCAUCAAGUAAAUACUCCUGUAUCUACUCAAAUCGUAAGUGAAGUAAGAACAUAAUGAUAUCCACUGCGUGCCUUAGCACUUAUUGGACUGCACACAUCAAAAAUGCAUUACUCCCAACAAGUUACUACUUGUUUCAUGUGGCAUGUUUUGCAUGUCUCAAGUGAUUCAAAAUCAAGUGAGUCCAAACGAUCCAUCAGCAUGGAGCUUCUUCAUGCAUUUUACACCAACACGACUCAAGUGGCAGUGUCACAACUAAGUGGUACUAUCAUUAUUACUUUUUAUCUUUUGGCACUAAUAUUAUGAACAUGUGUAACACUACGAUCGAGAUUCAAAAACCAUUGAGGGUAAUUAUUCAAGCAAAUAGAAUAACUAUUAUUCUUUUAAAUGAAUAAUCGUAUUGCAACAAACACGAUACAAUCAUGUUCAUGCUCAACGCAAACACCAAAUAACAAUUAUUUGGGUUUCACCACCAAUCCCGAUGAUAGAGGGAGCGUGCGACCUUUGAUCAUAUCAACCUUGGAAACACUUCCAACACGUAUCGUCACCUCGCCUUUAGCUAGUCUCCGUAUAUUCCGUAGCUUUCAUUUCGUGUUACCAAUCACUUAGCAACUGAACCGGUAUCCAAUACCCUCGCGCUACUAGGAGUACUAGUAAAGCACACAUCAACAUCAUGUAUAUCAAAUAUACUACUUUCGACUUUGCCAGCCUACUUAUCUACCAAGCAUCUAGGGUAGCUCCGCCUCAGUGAUCGUUCCCCUCAUAAUAGAAGCACUUAGUCUCGGGUUUGGGUUUAGACUUGGGUCUCUUCAUUAGUGCAGCAACUGUUUUACUGCUUCACGAAGUAUCCCUUCUAGCCCUUGCCUUUCAUGAAACUUAGUGGUUUUACUAACCAUCAACCAUUGAUGCUCCUUCUUGAUUUCUACUUUCGCAGUGUCAUACAUCACGGAUCUGUUGGGGAACGUCGCAUGGGAAACAAAAAUUUUCCUACGCGCACGAAGACCUAUCAUGGUGAUGUCCAUCUACGAGAGGGGAUGAGUGAUCUACGUACCCUUGUAGAUCGUACAGCAGAAGUGUUAGUGAACGCGGUUGAUGUAGUGGAACGUCCUCACGUCCCUCGAUCCGCCCCGCGAACAAUCCCGCGAUCAGUCCCACGAUCUAGUACCGAACGGACGGCACCUCCGCGUUCAGCACACGUACAGCUCGACGAUGAUCUCGGCCUUCUUGAUCCAGCAAGAGAGACGGAGAGGUAGAAGAGUUCUUCGGCAGCGUGAUGGUGCUCCGGAGGUUGGUGAUGACCUUGUCUCAGCAGGGCUCCGCCCGAGCUCCGCAGAAACGCGAUCUAGAGGAAAAACCGUGGAGGUAUGUGGUCGGGCUGCCGUGGAAAAGUCGUCUCAAAUCAGCCCCAAUACCUCCGUAUAUAUAGGUGGGUGGGAGGGGACCUUGCCUUGGGGCUCAAGGAGCCCCAAGGGGGUCGGCCGAGUCCAAGGGGGGAGGCCUCCCCCCCCAAACCGAGUUGGACUUGGUUUGGUGGGUGGGAGUCCUUCCCUUCCUUCCCACCUCCCUUUUUUUUCAUUCUCUUUGAUUUUCUUCUCUAGGCGCAUAGGGCCCUCUUGGGCUGUCCCACCAGCCCACUAAGGGCUGGUGUGCCACCCUCAAGGCCUAUGGGCUUCCCCGGGGUGGGUUGCCCCCCCCGGUGAACUCCCGGAACCCAUUCGUCAUUCCCGGUACAUUCCCGGUAACUCCGAAAACCUUCCGGUAAUCAAAUGAGGUCAUCCUAUAUAUCAAUCUUCGUUUCCGGACUAUUCCGGAAACCCUCGUGACGUCCGUGAUCUCAUCCGGGACUCCAAACAACAUUCGGUAACCAACCAUAUAACUCAAAUACGCAUAAAACAACGUCGAACCUUAAGUGUGCAGACCCUGCGGGUUCGAGAACUAUGUAGACAUGACCUGAGAGACUCCUCGGUCAAUAUCCAAUAGCGGGACCUGGAUGCCCAUAUUGGAUCCUACAUAUUCUACGAAGAUCUUAUCUUUUGAACCUCAGUGCCAAGGAUUCAUAUAAUCCCGUAUGUCAUUCCCUUUGUCCUUCGGUAUGUUACUUGCCCGAGAUUCGAUCGUCAGUAUCCGUAUACCUAUUUCAAUCUCGUUUACCGGCAAGUCUCUUUACUCGUUCCGUAAUACAAGAUCCUGCAACUUACACUAAGUUACAUUGCUUGCAAGGCUUGUGUGUGAUGUUGUAUUACCGAGUGGGCCCCGAGAUACCUCUCCGUCACACGGAGUGACAAAUCCCAGUCUUGAUCCAUACUAACUCAACUAACACCUUCAGAGAUACCUGUAGAGCAUCUUUAUAGUCACCCAGUUACGUUGCAACGUUUGAUACACACAAAGCAUUCCUCCGGUAUCAGUGAGUUAUAUGAUCUCAUGGUCAUAGGAAUAAAUACUUGACACACAGAAAACAGUAGCAACAAAAUGACACGAUCAACAUGCUACGUCUAUUAGUUUGGGUCUAGUCCAUCACGUGAUUCUCCUAAUGACGUGAUCCAGUUAUCAAGCAACAACACCUUGUUCAUAAUCAGAAGACACUGACUAUCUUUGAUCAACUAGCUAGCCAACUAGAGGCUUGCUAGGGACGGUGUUUUGUCUAUGUAUCCACACAUGUAAAUGAGUCUUCAUUCAAUACAAUUAUAGCAUGGAUAAUAAACGAUUAUCUUGAUACCGGAAUUAUAAUAAUAACUAUAUUUAUUAUUGCCUCUAGGGCAUAAUUCCAACAGUCUCCCACUUGCACUAGAGUCAAUAAUCUAGCCCUCACAUCAUCAUGUGAAUUACAUUGUAAUAAAUCUAACACCCAUACAGUUCUGGUGUUGAUCAUGCUUUGGCCGUGGAAGAGGUUUAGUCAGCGGGUCUGCUACAUUCAGAUCCGUGUGCACUUUGCAUAUAUUUACGUCCUCUCCCUCGACGUAGUCGUGGAUGAGGUUGAAGCGUCGUUUGAUGUGUCUAGUCUUCUUGUGAAACCGUGGUUCUUUUGCUAAGGCAAUGGCACCCGUGUUAUCACAGAACAAGGUUAUUGGAUUCAGUGCGCUUGGAACCACUCCAAGAUCCGUCAUGAACUGCUUCAUCCAGACACCCUCCUUAGCCGCCUCCGAGGCAGCCAUGUACUCCGCUUCACAUGUAGAAUCUGGUACGACGCUUUGCUUGGAACUGCACCAGCUUACCGCACCCCCAUUAAGAAUAAAUACGUAUCCGGUUUGCGACUUAGAGUCGUCCGGAUCUGUGUCAAAGCUUGCAUCGACGUAACCUUUUACGGCGAGCUCUUCGUCACCUCCAUACACGAGAAACAUCUCCUUAGUCCUUUUCAGGUACUUCAGGAUAUUCUUGACCGCUGUCCAGUGAUCCACUCUUGGAUUACUCUGGAACCUACCUGCCAUACUUAUGGCCAGGCUAACAUCCGGUCUAGUGCACAGCAUCGCAUACAUGAUAGAACCUAUGGCUGAAGCAUAGGGGACGGAGCGCAUAUGCUCUCUAUCUUCAUCAGUUGCUGGGCGCUGAGUCUUACUCAAUCUCGUACCUUGUAGAACUGGCAAGAACCCUUUCUUGGACUGUUCCAUUUUGAACCUCUUCAAAACUUUAUCAAGGUAUGUGCUUUGUGAAAGUCCUAUCAGGCGUUUUGAUCUAUCCCUAUAGAUCUUAAUGCCUAGAAUGUAAGCAGCUUCUCCUAGGUCCUUCAUAGAGAAACUUUUAUUCAAGUAACCUUUUAUGCUCUCCAAAAACUCUACGUUGUUUCCAAUCAGUAAUAUGUCAUCCACAUAUAAUAUUAGAAACGUCACAGAGCUCCCACUCACUUUCUUGUAAAUACAAGAUUCUCCAACCACUUGUAUAAACCCAAAUGCUUUGAUCACCUCAUCAAAGCGUUUGUUCCAACUCCGAGAUGCUUGCACCAGUCCAUAAAUGGAUCGCUGGAGUUUGCACACCUUGUUAGCAUUCUUAGGAUCGACAAAACCUUCGGGUUGCAUCAUAUACAACUCUUCCUUAAGGAAACCGUUAAGGAACGCCGUUUUGACAUCCAUUUGCCAGAUUUCAUAAUCGAAAAAUGCAGCUAUUGCUAACAUGAUUCUGACGGACUUAAGCAUCGCUACGGGUGAGAAUGUCUCAUCGUAGUCAACUCCUUGAACUUGUGAAAAACCCUUUGCCACAAGUCGAGCUUUAUAAACGGUCACAUUGCCGUCAGCGUCCGUAUUCCUCUUAAAGAUCCAUUUGUUCUGAAUAGCCUUGCGGCCCUCAGGUAGUACUUCCAAAGUCCACACUUUGUUCUCAUACAUGGAUCCUAUCUCGGAUUUCAUGGCCUCUAGCCAUUUGUUGGAAUCUGGGCCCACCAUUGCUUCUUCAUAAUUCGCAGGUUCAUUGUUGUCUAACAACAUGAUUGAUAAGACGGGAUUACCGUACCACUCUGGAGCAGCACGUGGUCUCGUCGACCUGCGUGGUUCGACAGAAACUUGAACUGGAGUUUCAUGAUCAUCAUCAUUAACUUCCUCCUCAGCCGGCGUUGCAACGACAAAGGUUUCCCCUUGCCCUGCGCCACCAUCCAGAGGGAUGAGAGGUUCGACAACCUCGUCAAGUUCUAUCUUCCUCCCACUCAAUUCUCUCGAGAGAAACUCCUUCUCGAGAAAAGCUCCGUUUUUAGCAACAAACACUUUGCCCUCGGAUUUGAGAUAGAAGGUGUAACCAACUGUCUCUUUUGGGUAACCUAUGAAGACGCACUUUUCCGCUUUGGGUUCCAGCUUUUCAGGCUGAAGCUUUUUGACAUAGGCAUCACAUCCCCAAACUUUAAGAAACGACAAUUUUGGCCUUUUGCCAUACCACAGUUCGUAUGGUGUCGUCUCAACGGAUUUUGAUGGUGCCCUAUUUAAAGUGAAUGCAGCUGUUUCUAGUGCAUAACCCCAAAACGAUAAUGGCAAAUCAGUAAGAGACAUCAUAGAUCGCACCAUCUCUAAUAGAGUACGAUUACGAUGUUCGGACACACCAUUACGCUGUGGUGUUCCAGGCGGUGUUAACUGUGAAACAAUUCCACAUUGUCUUAAGUGAGUACCAAACUCGAAACUCAGAUAUUCACCCCCACGAUCAGACCGUAGGAACUUGAUCUUCUUGUUACGAUGAUUUUCCACUUCACUCUGAAAUUGCUUGAACUUUUCAAAUGUUUCAGACUUGUGCUUCAUCAAGUAGACAUAACCAUAUCUACUUAAAUCGUCAGUGAAGGUGAGAAAAUAACGAUAUCCGCCGCGUGCCUCCACGCUCAUCGGACCACACACAUCGGUAUGUAUGAUUUCCAACAAGUCACUUGCACGCUCCAUUGUUCCGGAGAACGGAGUCUUAGUCAUCUUGCCCAUGAGGCAUGGUUCGCACGUGUCAAGUGAAUCAAAGUCAAGUGACUCCAAAAGUCCAUCAGCAUGGAGUUUCUUCAUGCGCUUUACACCAAUAUGACCUAAGCGGCAGUGCCACAAAAAUAUGGCGCUAUCAUUGUUAACUCUUUUGGUCUCAAUGUUAUGUAUAUGCGUAUCGCUAUCAAGAUUCAACAUGAACAAUCCUCUCACAUUCGGUGCAUGACCAUAAAAGAUGUUACUCAUAGAAAUAGAACAACCAUUAUUCUCUGAAUUAAAAGAGUAACCGUCUCGCAAUAAACAAGAUCCAGAUAUAAUGUUUAUGCUCAACGCAGGCACUAAAUAACAAUGAUUUAAGUUCAUCACUAAUCCUGACGGUAACUGAAGUGACACUGUGCCGACGGCGAUUGCAUCAACCUUGGAACCAUUUCCUAUGCGCAUCGUCACUUCAUCUUUCGCCAGCCUUCGUCUAUUCCGCAGUUCCUGUUUCGAGUUGCAAAUAUGAGCAACAGAACCGGUAUCGAAUACCCAGGCACUACUACGAGAGCCGGUUAAGUACACAUCAAUAACAUGUAUAUCAAAUAUACCUGAUUUUUCUUUGGCCGCCUUCUUAUCUGCCAGAUACUUGGGGCAAUUGCGCUUCCAGUGACCCAUACCCUUGCAAUAGUAACACUCCGUUUCAGGCUUAGGUCCAGCUUUGGGUUUCUUCGUCGGAUCGGCAACAGGCUUGCCGCUCUUCUUCGAAUUGCCCUUCUUGCCUUUGCCGUUUCUCUUGAAACUAGUGGUCUUAUUCACCAUCAACACUUGAUGCUCUUUACGGAGUUCAGACUCUGCGACUUUCAGCAUCGCAAACAACUCGCCGGGAGACUUGUUCAUCCCUUGCAUGUUGUAGUUCAACACAAAGCCUUUAUAGCUUGGCGACAGUGAUUGAAGGAUUCUGUCAGUGAUAGCUUCUUGCGGGAGUUCAAUCCCCAGCUCAGCUAGAUGGUUUGAGUACCCAGACAUUUUGAGCACAUGUUCACUGACAGACGAGUUCUCCUCCAUCUUGCAAGCACAGAAUUUAUCGGAGGUCUCAUACCUCUCGAUCCGGGCGUUCUUUUGAAAGAUAAACUUCAAUUCCUGGAACAUCUCAAAUGCUCCAUGACGCUCAAAGCGACGUUGAAGUCCUGGUUCUAAGCCAUACAAGACUACACAUUGAACUAUUGAGUAGUCCUCCUUACGUGCUAACCAAGCGUUCUUAACAUCCUGAUCAGCCGUAGCGGGUGGUUCAUCUCCUAACGCAGCAUUAAGGACAUAAUCCUUCUUCCCAGCUUGUAAGAUUAGCUUAAGAUUACGAGUCCAGUCUACAAAGUUGCUUCCAUCAUCUUUCAACUUAGCUUUCUCUAGGAACGUAUUAAAAUUCAGGAUGACUGUCGCGUGAGCCAUGAUCUACAACACAAAUAUAUUCAAAGUGGACUUAGACUAUGUUCAAGAUAAUUAGAGUUUAACUUAAUCAAAUUAUUCGCUAAACUCCCACUCAAAAAGUACAUCUCUCUAAUCAUUUGAGUGGUACAUGAUCCAAAUCCACUAGCUCAAGUCUGAUCAUCACGUGAGUUGCGUAUAGUUUCAGUGGUAAGCAUCCCUAUGCUAAUCAUAUCAUCUAUAUGAUUCAUGAUCGAACUUUUGGUCUCAUGUGUUCUGAGGCCAUGUCUGCACAUGCUAGGCUCGUCAAGCUUAACCCGAGUGUUCCGCAUGCGCAACUGUUUUGCACCCGUUGUAUGUGAACGUUGAGUCUAUCACACCCGAUCAUCACGUGGUGUCUCGAAACGAGGAACUGUAGCAACGGUGCACAGUCGGGGAGAACACAAUUUCGUCUUGAAAUUUUAGUGAGAGAUCACCUCAUAAUGCUACCGUCGUUCUAAGCAAAAUAAGGUGCAUAAAAGGAUUAACAUCACAUGCAAUUCAUAAGUGACAUGAUAUGGCCAUCAUCACGUGCUUCUUGAUCUUCAUCACCAAAGCACCGGCACGAUCUUCUUGUCACUGGUGCCACGCCAUGAUCUCCAUCAACGUGUUGCCAUCGGGGUUGUCGUGCUACUCAUGCUAUUACUACUAAAGCUACAUCCUAGCAAAAUAGUAAACGCAUCUGCAAGCACAAACGUUAGUAUAAAGACAACCCUAUGGAUCCUGCCGGUUGCCGUACCAUCGACGUGCAAGUCGAUAUUUCUAUUACAACAUGAUCAUCUCAUACAUCCAAUAUAUCACAUCACAUCGUUGGCCAUAUCACAUCACAAGCAUACCCUGCAAAAACAAGUUAGACGUCCUCUAAUUUUGUUGUUGCAUGUUUUACGUGGUGACCAAGGGUAUCUAGUAGGAUCGCAUCUUACUUACGCAAACACCACAACGGAGAUAUAUGAGUUGCUAUUUAACCUCAUCCAAGGACCUCCUCGGUCAAAUCCGAUUCAACUAAAGUUGGAGAAACCGACACUUGCCAGUCAUCUUUGAGCAACGGGGUUACUCGUAACGAUGAAACCAGUCUCUCGUAAGCGUACGAGUAAUGUCGGUCCAAGCCGCUUCAAUCCAACAAUACCGCGGAAUCAAGAAAAGACUAAGGAGGGCAGCAAAACGCACAUCACCGCCCACAAAAACUUUUGUGUUCUACUCGAGAAGACAUCUACGCAUGAACCUGGCUCUGAUACCACUGCUGGGGAACGUCGCAUGGGAAACAAAAAAUUUCCGACGCGCACGAAGACCUAUCAUGGUGAUGUCCAUCUACGAGAGGGGAUGAGUGAUCUACGUACCCUUGUAGAUCAUACAGCAGAAGCGUUAGUGAACGCGGUUGAUGUAGUGGAACGUCCUCACGUCCCUCGAUCCGCCCCGCGAACAAUCCCGCGAUCAGUCCCACGAUCUAGUACCGAACGGACGGCACCUCCGCGUUCAGCACACGUACAACUCGACGAUGAUCUCGGCCUUCUUGAUCCAGCUAGAGAGACGGAGAGGUAGAAGAGUUCUCCGGCAGCGUGACCUUGUCUCAGCAGGGCUCCGCCCGAGCUCCGCAGAAACGCGAUCUAGAGGAAAAACCGUGGAGGUAUGUGGUCGGGCUGCCGUGGAAAAGUCGUCUCAAAUCAGCCCCAAUACCUCUGUAUAUAUAGGUGGGAGGGAGGGGACCUUGCCUUGGGGCUCAAGGAGCCCCAAGGGGGUCGGCCGAGUCCAAGGGGGGAAGGCUCCCCCCCAAACCGAGUUGGACUUGGUUUGGUGGGUGGGAGUCCUUCCCUUCCCUCCCDCBUCCUUUUUUUUCUUUCUCUUUGAUUUUCUUCUCUAGGCGCAUAGGGCCCUCUUGGGCUGUCCCACCAGCCCACUAAGGGCUGGUGUGCCACCCUGAAGGCCUAUGGGCUUCCCCCGGGGUGGGUUGCCCCCCCCCGGUGAACUCCCGGAACCCAUUCGUCAUUCCCGGUAACUCCGAAAACCUUCCGGUAAUCAAAUGAGGUCAUCCUAUAUAUCAAUCUUCGUUUCCGGACUAUUCCGGAAACCCUCGUGACGUCCGUGAUCUCAUCCGGGACUCCGAACAACAUUCGGUAACCAACCAUAUAACUCAAAUACGCAUAAAACAACGUCGAACCUUAAGUGUGCAGACCCUGCGGGUUCGAGAACUAUGUAGACAUGACCUGAGAGACUCCUCGGUCAAUAUCCAAUAGCGGGACCUGGAUGCCCAUAUUGGAUCCUACAUAUUCUACGAAUAUCUUAUCGUUUGAACCUCAGUGCCAAGGAUUCAUAUAAUCCCGUAUGUCAUUCCCUUUGUCCUUCGGUAUGUUACUUGCCCGAGAUUCGAUCGUCAGUAUCCGUAUACCUAUUUCAAUCUCGUUUACCGGCAAGUCUCCUUACUCGUUCCGUAAUACAAGAACCUGCAACUUACACUAAGUUACAUUGCUUGCAAGGCUUGUGUGUGAUGUUGUAUUACCGAGUGGGCCCCGAGAUACCUCUCCGUCACACGGAGUGACAAAUCCCAGUCUUGAUCCAUACUAACUCAACUAACACCUUCGGAGAUACCUGUAGAGCAUCUUUAUAGUCACCCAGUUACGUUGCGACGUUUGAUACACACAAAGCAUUCCUCCGGUAUCAGUGAGUUAUAUGAUCUCAUGGUCAUAGGAAUAAAUACUUGACACGCAGAAAAGAGUAGCAACAAAAUGACACGAUCAACAUGCUACGUCUAUUAGUUUGGGUCUAGUCCAUCACGUGAUUCUCCUAAUGACGUGAUCCAGUUAUCAAGCAACAACACCUUGUUCAUAAUCAGAAGACACUGACUAUCUUUGAUCAACUGGCUAGCCAACUAGAGGCUUGCUAGGGACGGUGUUUUGUCUAUGUAUCCACACAUGUAAAUGAGUCUUCAUUCAAUACAAUUAUAGCAUGGAUAAUAAACGAUUAUCUUGAUACAGGAAUUAUAAUAAUAACUAUAUUUAUUAUUGCCUCUAGGGCAUAAUUCCAACAGGAUCUCUCAAGGAUCAUUGUAUCUAUCCUUGAUAUGUUAUAGUUCAUCACGAAGCUCUCACAGCUUGGUGGCAGUGACUUUGGAGAACCAUCACUAUCUCAUCUGGAAGAUUAACUCCCACUUGAUUCAAGCGAUUGUCGUACUCAGACAAUCUGAGGACACGCUCAACGAUUGAGUUUUUCUCCUUUACUUCAUGGACAAAGAAUCUUGUCGGAGGUCUCAUACCUCUUAACAAGGGCACAAGCAUGAAAUCACAAUUUCAUCUCUUUAGAACAUCACUCAUGUUCCGUGACGUUUCAAAACGUCUUCGGCGCCACGCUUCUAAGCCAUUAAGUAUUUUGCACCGAACUAUCGCGUAGUCAUCAGAAACGUGUAUGUCGGAUGUUCACAACAUCCACAGACGACGCUCGAGGUGCAGCACACUGAGUGGUGCAUUAAGGACAUAAGCCUUCUGCGUAGCAACGAGGACAAUCCUUAGUUUUACAGACUCAGUCCGCAAAGUUUGCUACUAUCAACUUUCAACUAAAUUUUCUCUAGGAACAAAUUAAAAACAGUAGAGCUAUAGGGCAAGCUACAUCGUAUUUCGCAAAGACCAUUAGACUAUGUUCAUGACAAUUAGUUCAAUUAAUCAUAUUACUUAAGAACUCCCACUCAAAAAGUACAUCUCUCUAGUCAUUUGAGUGGUACAUGAUCCAAAUCCACUAUCUCAAGUCCGAUCAUCACGUGAGUCGAGAAUAGUUUUAGUGGUAAGCAUCUCUAUGCUAAUCAUAUCAACUAUACGAUUCAUGCUCGACCUUUCGGUCUCAUGUGUUCCGAGGCCAUGUCUGCACAUGCUAGGCUCGUCAAGCUUAACCCGAGUGUUCCGCGUGUGCAACUGUUUUGCACCUGUUGUAUGUGAACGUUGAGUCUAUCACACCCGAUCAUCACGUCGUGUCUCGAAACGAAGAACUGUCGCAACGGUGCACAGUCGGGGAGAACACAAUUUCGUCUUGAAAUUUUAGUGAGAGAUCACCUCAUAAUGCUACCGUCGUUCUAAGAAAGAUAAGGUGCAUAAAGGAUUAACAUCACAUGCAAUUCAUAAGUGACAUGAUAUGGCCAUCAUCAUGUGCUUCUUGAUCUCCAUCACCAAAGCACCGGCACGAUCUUCUUGUCACCAGCGUCACACCAUGAUCUCCAUCAUCAUGAUCUCCAUCAACGUGUCGCCAUCUGGGUUGUCGUGCUACUAAUACUAUUACUACUAAAGCUACAUCCUAGCAAUAUAGUAAACGCAUCUGCAAGCACAAACGUUAGUUUGAGGACAACCCUAUGGCUCCUGCCGGUUGCCGUACCAUCGACGUGCAAGUCGAUAUUAACUAUUACAACAUGAUCAUCUCAUACAUCCAAUAUAUCACAUCACAUCGUUGGCCAUAUCACAUCACAAGCAUACCCUGCAAAAACAAGUUAGACGUCCUCUAAUUGUUGUUGCAUGUUUUACGUGGUGACCAUGGGUAUCUAGUAGGAUCGCAUCUUACUUAAGCAAACACCACAACGGAGAUAUAUGAAUUGCUAUUUAACCUCAUCCAAGGACCUCCUCGGUCAAAUCCGAUUCAACUAAAGUUGGAGAAACCGACACUCGCCGGUCAUCUUUGAGCAACGGAGUUACUCGUAGCGAUGAAACCAGUCUCUCGUAAGCAUACGAGUAAUGUUGGUCCGAGCCCCUUCGAUCCAACAAUACCGCGGAAUCAAGAAAAGACUAAGGAGGGCAGCAAAACGCACAUCACCGCCCACAAAAACUUUUGUGUUCUACUCAAGAUUACAUCUACGCAUGAACCUAGCUCAUGAUGCCACUGUUGGGGAACGUCGCAUGGGAAACAAAAAAAUUCCUACGUGCACGAAGACCUAUCAUGGUGAUGUCCAUCUAUGAGAGGGGAUUUCCGAUCUACGUACCCUUGUAGAUCACACAACAGAAGCGUUAAGAAACGCGGUUGAUGUAGUGGAACGUCCUCACGUCCCUCGAUCCGCCCCGCGAACCGUCCCAUGAACCGUCCCGCGAUCCGUCCCACGAUCCGCUCCGAUCUAGUGCUGAACGGACGGCACCUCCGCGUUCAGCACACGUACAACUUGACUAUGAUCUCGGCCUUCUUGAUCCAGCAAGAGAGACGGAGAGGUAGAUGAGUUCUCCGGCAGCGUGACGGCGCUCCGGAGGUUGGUGGUGAUCUAAUCUCAGCAGGGCUCCGCCCGAGCUCCGCAGAAACGCGAUCUAGAGGUAAAACCGUGGAGGUAUGUGGUCGGGCUGCCGUGGCGAAAGUUAUCACAAAUCAGCCCUAAAACCCCACUAUAUAUAGGAGGCAGGGAGGGGAGGAGGCAGCCUCAAAACCUAAAGGUUUGGCCGAAAUUGGAGGUGGAGGAGUCCUAGUCCAAUCCUAGGAGUAGGAUUCCACCUUCCCACUUGGAAACUCUUUCCACCUUGUGUUUUUUCCUUCUCAAACCUUAUGGGCCUUAGUGGGAACUUAUUCCAGCCCACUAGAGGCUGGUUUAUCUCUUCCCAUAGCCUAUGAGACCCCUUGGGGCGUGACACCCCUCCUGAUGGUCCCCGGCACCGCUCCCGGCACUCCCAGUACACUACCGAUGAGCCCGAAACUUUUCCGGUAAUGCACGAAAACCUUCCGGUAACCAAAUGAGGUCAUCCUAUAUAUCAAUCUUCGUUUCCGGACCAUUCCGGAAACCCUCGUGACAUCCGUGAUCUCAUCCGGGACUCCGAAAAACAUUCGGUAACAAACCAUAUAACUCAAAUACGCAUAAAACAACGUCAAACCUUAAGUGUGCAGACCCUGCGGGUUCGAGAACUAUGUAGACAUGACCCGAGAGACUCCUCGGUCAAUAUCCAAUAGCGGGACCUGGAUGCCCAUAUUGGAUCUUACAUAUUCUAUGAAGAUCUUAUCGUUUGAACCUUAGUGCCAAGGAUUCGUAUAAUCCCGUAUGUCAUUCCCUUUGUCCUUCGGUAUGUUACUUGCCUGAGAUUCGAUCGUCAGUAUCCGCAUACCUAUUUCAAUCUCGUUUACCGGCUAGUCUCUUUACUCGUUCCGUAAUACAAGAUCCCACAACUUACACUAAGUCACAUUGCUUGCAAGGCUUGUGUGUGUUGUUGUAUUACCGAGUGGGCCCCGAGAUACCUCUCCGUCAUACGGAUCAGUGACAAAUCCCAGUCUUGAUCCAUACUAACUCAACGAACACCUUCGGAGAUACCUGUAGAGCAUCUUUAUAGUCACCCAGUUACGUUGCGACGUUUGAUACACACAAAGCAUUCCUCCGGUGUCAGUGAGUUAUAUGAUCUCAUGGUCAUAGGAACAAAUACUUGACACGCAGAAAACAGUAGCAACAAAAUGAUACGAUCAACAUGCUACGUCUAUUAGUUUGGGUCUAGUCCAUCACAUGAUUCUCCUAAUGAUGUGAUCCCGUUAUCAAGUAACAACACUUGCCUAUGGCCAGGAAACCUUGACCAUCUUUGAUCAACGAGCUAGUCAACUAGAGGCUUACUAGGGACAGUGUUUUGUCUAUGUAUCCACACAAGUAUUGUGUUUCCAAUCAAUACAAUUAUAGCAUGGAUAAUAAGCGAUUAUCAUGAACAAAGAAAUAUAAUAAUAACCACUCUUCAAGAAUUCGUCCGAUUAACCAGUUAACUUGCGAGUUAAUCGCUACUCUUAGGGUGACCGAAUCGAAUAACACCUAUUCAUCGUGUUAACUUGCCAUGCCGAUUAAUUGGCUAGUUAGACCGAUUAAUGAUUUGUUAUACCGAUUAAUUAGUUGCCAGACCGAUUAAUCACUACUGGCCUAUUAACUGGUGGGCAAACGAAUCCAAAUUUUUUGGCACAUAAUGCCUCCCACCCCCUCUUUCUACUAAAUACGUAGGGUUUGGCCCUCCUCGCGCUUCCUCAUGAUCCUUUCAUCCCCUCCUAACCUGACUGGUGGCUAGUCGUGUUCUCACUAGUGCCAGUCUCCACACUACACGUGGAAGAUAUAGUUGCCCCGCCAUUCUUGUCGCUUGCCUCGACCCCACCCCCCUUGGACACUACCCAUCCUCUCCCAUGGGAUGCUCCCCAAUCUCUUCCUCAAUGGCGUCACCAGUAGGCAAGGUACUAGCAUCUUCCCCCCACCCCCAUACCUUACUGGAGAAUCCAGCAUUCAUAUAUUAGUAGAUUAUGAAUUACAAUUUUGUAGAUGGAUGGAUGGAACUGUUGGUUUUGGCUGUUAUGUAUAGUAUAUUAUGUGAUGUAUGUUAGAAUGUAUAUGGAUAAGUUUAAAUGUUUAAUUUCUCAAUUUGAAUUUUGAGAUUUUAUAUAUUUAUAUGUAUAACGAUUAUUAAUUUUACCUCUUACUAUUUUUUAUAUGCCUACAAUAGAAUAUUUUGGUAUAUAACAUAGCUAGGUGCAUGGAAUUAUGGUAUCAUACAUAAAAAAUUUAGAUAUAAGUUGGCAAGUUUCUGUUUAAUCUACCGAUUAAUGGUCGACCGAUUAAUCCAGUUAAUAGGCCGAUUCACCGAUUAAUCUCUACUCCCAAGCCGACCCAGCAGCUACCAGUUACCGAUUUCGUGAACAAUGAUAAUAACUAAUUAUUAUUGCCUCUAGGGCAUAUUUCCAACAGUUCACUAGUGAUGUCUCUCUCCCAAAAUACGAUAAACAACUAUGCUUGGGUAAACAAAUUACAGUUGGACAAUUGACAGAAUUAUGAACGCACCACAAUGCUAAUUAUGCUACUUGAUAGUUAGAGGCUCAAUAGUAAUGGGCAAUACGCCAAGACAAGUAGACCGUUUAUUCAUCAACAUCUACUUACUAAUCAUCCACCUUGAGAUAUCUAUCCUAACAUCUCGUCGUUAUUAAGUUGCGAGCCCCACCCGAAGUGUAAACUCAAAGCGACAAACAACUGCAUUAACAAACUAUGCGUAAGGUAAACAAUCCUUGCAACCAUUGUCACAAGCACCGUUGUUUUCUCCCUGGUAGCAACAACACAUCCCCUAGUCUCAUGUUUCUGUCACUCAAGCUAGACAUCGAGGGGCAUGAACCUACAAUCAUGCAUAACGUUCCCUCUUGGAGUUACAAUCUACUACUCGGCCAAAGCAAUAAAUAGCAACGGAGAACAUGCAUGAAACACUAAGGAACAUAAUAUAAAAGGAUAAUCAAAUAUAUAACUCAUAACAAUGUGAACAUAAUCUCAUAAUCCAUCGGAUCCCAACAAACCGAGCAUAUCAAUAGCAAGAGAAUUACAUAGAUCCCUUGAUCAUGUAGGGCAACUCACAAGGACUAACCAUUCAAGCAGAAGAUUGGAGAGAAGACAUCACAUAGCUACUGGUCAUGGACUCAUGGUCCAAGGAGGACUACUCACGGCAGGUCCAGGAAGCGUCCAUGGCGGUGGAGAAGCUCCCGGAAAUCAAUCUUCCCUCCGGCAGGGUGUCGGGAAGGGGUCUCCGGACGCUCCCGAUCUCAGAAGCACUGCGACGGCGGAACGAUGGAGAAAUUCACGAUUCUGGAUCCCGUAUAGGGUUUUCCUCGUCAAGGGGUAAAUAUAGGCGAAAGGAGGACUCGAGAGGGCGUGGGCCGCACCUAGGCGGCCUCUUGGGACGGCCUAGGGGUGGGCCGCGCCCACAGGUCGUCUGGGCCGCCCCUGGCACCCCUCUGGCCCCCUUUCGUGCUUCGUGAAGCUUCUGGUGCGCUGAUUAUAUAUAUAUUUUUCUCGGGAUUUUUGGGACUUCGAAAAAUUGGAUAAAAGCCCCUGCAAAAAAGACAUCAGUAGACAGAAACUGGCACUGGGUGCACUGAGUUAGUAGGUUAGUCCAAAUAUGUGUAAAAAGAUAUAAAAGUGUAGCAAAACAUAUAACAAUGUCACCCAAAAGAUCAUGGAACAAGCAGAAAUUAUAGAUACGUUUGGAACGUAUCAACAUCCCCAAGCUUAAUUUCUGCUCGUCCUCGAGUAGAUAAAUGAUAACACAAUAAUUUAUGUGGUGACAUGCUAACACACAUAUAAAAACUUUAAAGUAAAACAAGUAAGAUAUGCAAUUCAAGUCAAGACAAUAACAAGCAAGAGUGUGUAUCUAGUAUUGAAUUUAGCAAAGUAAGAAUAUAAAGGUGCAAGAGCUCUCGCUGUCCGUGACUCGAAUGUGUCCAAAUGGUGUUUGCGUGCAAGAAGUGGGAGAUGGGUUGAGAUUAUAAAAUAUUUUUUAAUUGAGAACUCAAUCUACUAAAUGUCACACUUGGUCUCCUUCGAAAUCUUAUUUUGACUCAUCCCCAGACCACUAGUGAGGCACAAGUCAAAAUGAUCCUCUCCCUUUCGACUUUGAGCACUCAUGCAAUGGAUGAGUGUAAGCAAGAUAUGUUGGCACUUAAGAUGGCAAAUAGAAUAAUGAUGGGGAAGGAAGACAAAAAGGUGUGAAAGGCUCACAUCAAUGAGGACAACCAUAGGCGAGAGAAAGCCAAAUGAUUGAUAUGAUGUGAGGAGUAGGGAUUGCCAUGUAACGGAUGCACAUAUGAGCUAAGGUAAGCUCUCCAAUGGAACUAGUGGGGGUGGAUCUAACUUGUUUUCUCAUGAAGACCUAUAGCUCAUUUGAGGAGGCUCAUCAUUGGAAUAUGCAAACCAAGUUCUAUAGUGUAAGGGUCCCCACAUAGUUAUGCAUGAAUGAUAAUCUCUAUGUAGUACAAAUACAACAAAGGAGUACGACAGUGGAUCUUACAAAAGGAAUAGUAGUGUUGCCCCCUUCUCUCUUUUUAUUUAUUUUUUCUUUUAUUUUCUUUUAUCUUUUUCUUUAUUUUUUCUGGCCUCUUUGGCUCUUUCUAUUUAUCUCUCAUUUGUCCUCUUUGGGAUCUUUUGUUUUGUCCUCUUUGGGAUCUUUUCCUCACUUAAGGGCAACACUCUAUGUUUUACAUGAAUAAAAAGAAGAUCAUCACACUUUAUAAGAAGUACUCAACUAUCAUGAUGUAUGCAAAUGUAUGCCUCUGCUAGUGUAGCAGGAUAUGCAAUGAUAAUAGUGCGUCAUGUAGCAGUAAUAAGGGCAAGGCCCAACUAUCAUCCGUCUCUACGAUCAAGCAAAAGCAUGUAUGACAUGAAGAUCAAGUCAUGAGAUGGUGGAUGUUGCAUGGCAAUGUAUCUCGGAAAGGCUAUGGAAAUGCCUUAAUAGGUAGGUAUGGUGGUUGUUUUGAGGAGAGAUAUAAUGAGGCUUAUGAUGACAGAGUGUAUCAUGUCAUGGGUUUGGAUGCACCGGCGGAGUUUGCACCAACUCUCAAUGUGAGAAAGGGAAAUGCAUGGUACUGAAGAGGCUAGCAAAAUAUGGAUGGAGGAAGUGCCAACAAUCGAAUACUCACAUUAGUCUGAAGAACUCAUACACUUCUUAUCGGUAACUCUCUAUCUAGUUAGAAAAUUCACAAAGAGACAAGUACCCCGAGGAGGAGUGUUUGGGGGUUUGGUUAUCCUUGCGCAUCCUCGACCCAUGGUAACGUGAGGGUACUCUAUAUAUUCCAACCCCUCCAUAGGUUAGCGAUCAAUCUAGUAGCUAGAGUUCUGAACUAAUUUUUUAGUUUUAAAAAACACACGGAUUUCCCAAAAUAUGACACCUAUCACUAAUAGGCUUAAGCUCUUGGCACCAAUAGUCCAAACAUUACUCAAAUCCAUACCUCAAAACUAUUACAAGUUACUACUAUACUUAAAUAGCAACCUCAAUUACCUACUCAUGCAAGACACACAACUCAGUGCAACAAGCCAACUCUCUAAACAAGAUAAGCAUGAUAACUCAAGAGAGUUCCAAAAGCAACCUAAAUAAAGUCUCUUAAAAAGAUAAGCAUGAAAACUAAGAGCUAAGCAUGACAGUAGCUAUGGAAAGACAAAGAACACACAAAAAAGGAUAAGCAUGAAACCUAUGUUGUGUUCUAGAGCGGAAUGGAGUGUGUUUCUAUCCCAAACAAGGUAGGCUAGGUUCCUACUUGUUAUGAACAGCAAGCAAAACUAAAACAAACUAAAAAGUAAAGAGCGGGACACUCCAAGUAUAGCACAUAACAUAUGAAGUGAUAAAAAUAUAGCAUGGAGAUGGACGAACUGAUUAUUGUUGAUAGAGAAGGGGAUGCACGGGGGCAUCCCCAAGCUUGAGCGCUUGACACUCUUGUAUCUUCUUUCAUCAUCUCCCAUCGCAUACUUAAAAACUCCCUUCAUACGAAACUCAUCAUAAGCAGAUUAGAGUGGUUAGUACCCAUGAUAAAAUAAUUCAUUACCUACUGGAAAUAAUGAUUUUCAUGAAAAGCUAUAGUUUCUCAUGAUUGCCAAAAGGUUUUUGCAAAGGAAAAGCAAGCUUAAGAUUUGCAAAAUGAUGAAAAUGCAAAACAUGGGAGAAUCUGUGAAAAACAGAACAACACGUAGUAAAUAAAUUUUUUCGGGGUACUUCUGCAACUCAAAUAAAAAAAACUCACAACAGAUGCCAGAAAGACAAUUAUAUAGAGCAUGCUGUCCAAACAUUUCAGAUCAAAUAGAUGAUCUGGUGAUUUUUGGCGAAUUGUUCCAUCAGGCACACAUAAUCUGUUUCUGGACAAUAUGUCACAACUUUUGAAUUUUCUUGCAAUCGGAGACUAAAACUUGGCGCAAAGCUUAAGAAUAAAGAUACAAUGAUGUUUAUACAAUAGUAACAAGUAUCAAGACCACUAAAACUGAAAGUAAAAACAAAUUGGGUUGCCUCCCAACAAGCGCUUUCUUUUAUGCCUUUGAGCUAGGCAUAAUGCAAAAAGAUCAAGUGUUAUCAACUCCAUAAGAAUAGCUUUCCCGAGUAACGGACUCAUAAGGUAACUUAAUCUUCUUUCUAGGGAAGUGUUCCAUUUCCUUUUUAAGGGGAGAUCGAAAUUUAAUAAUUCCCUCUUUUAUGUCAAUGAUAGCACCAACGGUGCGGAGAAAAGGACGUCCCAAAAUAAUUGGACAUGCGGGAUCACACUCAAUGUCCACAAUAAGAAAAUCAACGGGCACAUAAUUAUCAUUGACAAUAAUAAGCACAUCAUCAAUUCUACCUAAAGGUUUCUUUAUGGAAGAAUCAACAAGACGAACACAAAAAGAACAUGGAUCAUUGUUGGGGAACGUCGCAUGGGCAAAAAAAUUCCUACGCGCACGAAGACCUAUCAUGGUGAUGUCCAUCUACGAGAGGAGAUUUGGAUCUACGUACCCUUGUAGAUCACACAACAGGAAGCGUUAAGAAACGCGGUUGAUGUAGUGGAACGUCCUCACAUCCCUCGAUCCGCCCGCGAACCGUCCCACGAAACGUCCCACGAUCCGUCCCAUGAUCCGCUCUGAUCUAGUGCCGAACGGACGGCACCUCCGUGUUCAGCACACGUACAGCUCGACGAUGAUCUCGGCCUUCUUAAUCCAGCAAGCAAGACGGAGAAGUAGAUGAGUUCUUCGGCAGCGUGACGGCGCUCCAGUGGUGGUGAAGGAUCUACUCCUGCAGAGCUCCGCCCGAGCUCCGCAGAAAUACGAUCUAGAGUAAAAACCGUGGUGUUUGUGGUCGGGCUGCCGUGGCCAAAGUUGUCUCAAAUCAGCCCUAAAACUCCACUAUAUAUGGGAAGAGGGGAGGGGAGGCUUGCCUUGGGGUCCAAGACCCCAAGGGUGCGCCGGCCAAGGAGGUGGAGGAGUCCACCUCCAAUCCUAGUACAACUAGGAUUGGAAGGUGGAGUCCUUCCCUUCCUUCCCACCUCUUUUUUUUCUUUCUCUUUGAUUUUCUUACCCCUUGCGCAUAGGCCUUAUUGGGCUGUCCCACCAUCCCACUAAGGGCUGGCGCGCCACCCCUAGGGCCUAUGGGCUUCCCCGGGUGGGUUGGCCCCCUCCCGGUGAACAUCCGGAACCCAUUCGUCACUCCCGGUACAUUCCCGGUAAUGCCCGAAAACCUUCCGACAAUCAAAUGAGGUCAUCCUAUAUAUCAAUCUUCGUCUCCGAACCAUUCCGGAAACCCUCGUGACGUCUGAGAUCUCAUCCAGGACUCCGAACAACAUUUGGUAACCACGCAUAUAACUCAACUAUACUAAAACAUCGUCGAACCUUAAGUGUGCAGACCCUGCGGGUUCGAGAACUAUGCAGACAUGCCCCGAGGUACUCCUUGGUCAAUAUCCAAUAGCGGGACCUGGAUGCCCAUAUUGGAUCCUACAUAUUCUCCAAAUAACUUAUCGGUUGAACCUUAGUGUGUCAAGGAUUCAGGCAAUCCCGUAUGGCAUUCCCUUUGUCCUUCGGUAUGUUACUUGCCCGAGAUUCGAUCCUCGGUAUCCGCAUACCAAUUUCAAUCUCGUUACCAGCAAGUCUCUUUUCUUGUUCUGUAAUACAAGAUCAUGUUACUUACACUUAGUCACAUUGCUUGCAAUUCUUGUGUGUGAUGUUGUAUUACCGAGUGGGCCCCGAGAUACCUCUCCGUCACACGGAGUGACAAAUCCUAGUCUUGAUCCAUACUAACCCAACGGACACCUUCGGAGAUACCUGUAGAGCACCUUUAUAGUCACCCGGUUACGCUGUGACGUUUGAUACACACAAGGUAUCCCUCCGGUGCCCGUGGGUUAUAUGAUCUCAUGGUCAUAGGAACAAAUACUUGACACGCAGAAAACAAUAGCAAAAAAAUGACACGGUCAAUAUGCUACGCUCAUAGUUUGGGUCUAGUCCAUCACAUGAUUCUCGUAAUGAUGUGAUCCAGUUAUCAAGCAACAACACUUUGCACAUAGUCAGAAAACCUUGACUAUCCUUGAUCAACUGGCUAGGAAACUAGAGGCUUGCUAGGGACAUUGUUGUGUCUAUUUAUCCACACAUGUAUCUAUGUUUUCAUUCAAUACAAUUAUAUCAUGGAUAAUAAAAAAUUAUAUUUAAACAGGAAAUAUAAUAAUAACUAUUUAUCAUUACCUCUAGGGCAUAUUUCCAACAAUCAUAAGGUUUCCAAUCAAGCAUAUCAUACAUUCUUUUGGGCAUAACAGAAGCACUAGCUCCAACAUCACAUAAAGAAAAGCAAGAGAUAUUAUUCAAUUUAAUCUUGACCAUAGGAUCCCAACCAUCUUCUAGUUUCCUAGGGAUAGAAGCCUCUAGCUUGAGCUUCUCCUCCCUAGCUUUGAUAAGAGCAUUGGUAAUAUGCUCGGUGAAGGCAAUAUUAAUGUACUAGUGUGUGGGGGGGGUUAGCCAUUCUUUGCAAAAAGGUGGUAACAUCGGAAAGACUACAAUCGUCAAAAUCAAGAUUACUACCAUUAAUUAAAGUGGUGGUAAUGUCAUGUAAGCUCAUUCUUUUGGUAGUCUCUAAAUUCAAAGGACCUUCUUGUCCUAUAGUUGAGGUAUUAGCAUCACCAUUAAUAGGUCCAUUGGGACUAGGGGUGUGAUGGGUGCGAAAAGUUUUGAGGUCCUCAACAACUUGUAUAGUAGGAAUGGUAGUGUGUGUAGGAAGGCUCGUCAUCCUAUCUUCCUCUUCUUUUUCUCUAGCCCAUCUAUCUUUAAGUUUGGCUAGAUUUCUUAUCUUCUCAUUAAUUUGGACUUGGAUAGCAUUAAUGGGUGUAGUGUUCCUUUCCUCAAGUGGGGAAGUUCUAAUUUUAAGCAUCUCUACAUCAUGAGCUAUGUUGUCUACCUUCAAAGAGAGACUACCUAAUUUUUCUAGUUUCUCUUCUACACUCUUGUUGAAGGCUUUUUGAGAAGUUAUAAAUUUUUUAAGCAUGCUCUCCAAUUUAGAAGUAGAGUUUUUGGUGCUAGGAUAAUUGUUGUUGUUCCCAUAGUUGUUGGAUGGGAAUGGUCUAGGAUUUCUACCAAAAUUACUCCUAUGGGCAUUAUUAUUGAAGUUGUUCCUAGAGAUAAAAUUAACAUCAACUUGCUCUCUUUAUUGAGCAACCAAAGAAUUUAAAGGAGCAUCAUGAGGAUCAAUAGGAGCUUGCUUAUUAAGUAGAGUCAUGAUCAUGUCAACCUUAUCAUUAAGGGAGGAAAUCUCCUCAACAGAGUUUACCUUCCUACCUGUUGGAGCUCUCUCCGUGUGCCAUUGAGAAUAAUUUACCAUCAUCUCAUCCAAUAGCUUUGUGGCAGCACCAAGUGUAGUUGACUUAAAGGUUCCUCCCAUGGCUGACUCUAACAGAUUCCGCGAGGUAAAGUUCAAUCCUGCAUAGAAAGUUUAGAUAACCAUCCAAGUAGUCAAACCAUGUGUAGGGCAAUUCUUAACAAGAGAUUUCAUACGUUCCCAAGCUUGAGCAACAUGUUCAUUAUCCGAUUGUAUAAAAUUCAUAAUGUUACUUAUGAAUUGGAUAAUUUUAGCAGGCAGGUAACUUUCCAAUAAAAUCAUCUUUGCACUUAUCCCAAGAAUCUAUGCUAUUCCUAGUCAAAGAUUGAAGCCACACUUUAGCUCAUCCUCUCAAGGAGAAAGGAAAAAGCUUAAGUUUAGCAAUAUCACCAUCUACUUCUUUAUACUUUUGCAUAUCACAAAGCUCAAAAUAAUUGUUCAAGUGCAAGGCAGCAUCAUCUCCAGCACCGGAGAACUGAUCUUUCAUAACUAGGUUCAGUAAAGCAGGUUUAAUCUCAUAGGAGGUAGCCCAGUGGCGGGAACAGCAAUAGGAGUGUAGAUAAAGUCAUUAUUGUUGUGGCUAGUGAAGUCACACAACUUGGUGUUUUCAGUGGAACUCAUAGCAGCAACAACAAGCAAGAACAAAGCAACUAAUAUUUUUGUGGUUUUUGGUAUAGGACUCUAAGGCAAAAACUAGAAGGCAAACUAACAAGACUAAAAAGCAAAGGUAAAAGAUAGCAUGCAACUCCCUUAUCUUGAAGACUGGAGUCCCCGGCAACAGCGCGAGAAAACUUUGCUUGAUGACGAGAUGAUGUAUAUACUUCUCGCUCCGCGUUGGUUACCCCAAGUGGAAGGUUGAGAUGUAGUCAGCAGCAAGUUUUCCCUUACACGGAGACUGUAAGGUUUAUCGAACCAGGAGGACUCCUAGGAUCAACAAGUAGGUGUCUCCCACCUUUGCACUAGCACAAGACGUGGACCUGCACACACAACAAAUAACUUUGGUCCCAACGAGUAUAGAGAGGUUGUUAAUCUCUCCAGCCUUAUAGUUUGCAAAUGAUCAAAACACAAGCGGGAAUAGUAAUAGUGAUUGCAACGGAGAAGUAAGUGAAAACAGUAAAUGGUGGAGGUGUAAACAAUGGUGGUGAUAUGGACCAGAGUCACAUGAUAUUCACUAGUGAUGUCUCUCUCCCAAAAGACGAUAAACAACUAUGUUUGGGUAAACAAAUUAUAGUUGGGCAAUUGACAGAAUUAUGAACGCACCACAAUGCUAAUUAUGCUACUUGAUAGUUAGAGGCUCAAUAGUAAUGGGCAAUACGCCAAGACAAGUAGACCGUUUAUCCAUCAGCAUCUACUUACUAAUCAUCCACCUUGAGAUAUCUAUCCAAAACAUCUCGCCAGUAUUAAGUUGCGAGCCCCACCCAAAGUGUAAACUCAAAGCAACGGACAACUGCAUUAACGAACUAUGCGUAAGGUAAACAAUCCUUGCAAUCAUGGUCACAAGCAUCGUUGUUUUCUCCUUGGUGGCAACAGCACAUCCCCUAGUCUUAUGUUUCUGUCACUCAAGCUAGACAUCGAGGGGCAUGAACCCACAAUCAUGCAUAACGCUCCCUCUUGGAGUUACAAUCUACUACUCAGCCAAAGCAAUAAAUAGCAACGGAGAACAUGCAUGAAUCACUAAGGAACAUAAUAUAAAAUGAUAAUCAAAUAUAUAAUUCAUAACAAUCUGAACAUAAUCUCAUAAUCCAUCGGAUCCCAACAAACCGAGCAUAGCAAUAGCAAUAGAAUUACAUAGAUGCCUUGAUCAUGUAGGGCAGCUCAUAAGGACUAACCAUUGAAGCACAAGAUUGGAGAGAAGACAUCACAUAUCUACUGGUCAUGGACUCAUGGUCCAAGGAGGACUACUCACGGCAGGUCCGGGAAGCGUGCAUGCCGGUGGAGAAGGUCCCGGAGGUCAAUCCUCCCUCCGGCAGGUCCGGGAAGCGUCCAUGGCGGUGGAGAAUGUCCCGGAGGUCAAUCCUCCCUCCGGCAGGGUGCCUGGAAGAGGUCUCCUAACGCUCCCGAUGUGAGAAGCGUUGCGGCAGCGGAACGAUGGAGAAAUUCACGAUUCUGGAUCCCGUAUAGGGUUUUCCUCGUCAAGGGGUAAAUAUAGGCGAAAGGAGGGCACCAGAUGGCGUCGGCCCCACCCAGGCGGCCUCUUGGCGCGGCCUAGGGGUGGUUCGCGCCCACAGGUCGCCUGGGCGGCCCCUGGCACCCCUCUGCCCUCCAUUCAUGCUUCGUGAAGCUUCUGGUGCGCUGAUUUUUAUAUAUUUUUCUCGGGAUUUUUGGGACUUCGGAAAAUUGGGUAAAAGCCCCUGUAAAAAAGACAUCAGUAGACAAAAACUGGCACUGGGUGCACUGAGUUAGUAGGUUAGUCCAAAUAUGUGUAAAAAGAUAUAAAAGUGUAGCAAAACAUAUGACAAUGUCACUCAAAAGAUCAUGGAACAAGCAGAAAUUAUAGAUACGUUUGAGACGUAUCACCAGCCGAAAAAGAUCUCGCCAAACAUGGCCUGUGAACACCGGGUCAUGGUCGCUGACGAUCAAAGAGGGAAACCCGUGGAGGCGAAUGAUGCCGUCGAAGAAGGCCCGUGCGUCGGAGGUGGUGGUGUAGGGAUGGUCCAGCGCGAUGAAGUGUGCAUAUUUGGAGAAACGGUCCACCAUCAUGAGGAUGAUGGACUUGCCACCCACCUUGGGGAGGCCCUCAAUAAAAUCCAUGGAGAUGUUGGCCCACACCUCGGAGGACACCUCAAGGGGCGGUAGCAGGCCGGCCGGCUGCAAUGUCUCUGUCUUGUUGCGCUGACACGUCACGCAAGACCGCACCUAGUUUCGCACCAACGCACGGUCCCCUAGAAGAUAGAAAUCAUUGCGGAGGCGAUGUAGCUUUUUCUGCACCCCAUCAUGGACGGCUGAGUGAGCCAACAGAAUAGCCUUGUGACGGAGAUCGUCGUGAUCGGGCAUGAAGAGGCACCGUCCAUGAAGAAGUAGCCCGUCAUCCAGUCGCCACGGCGCCGGCAAAUCGCCCUUGUCGAGCCGCUGCCAAAGAAGCUGAGCAUCCGUGGCCGUCACAGUUGCUCGGUGAAUGUCGUCGACGAUGAAGACGAACGAGGGCCCGGAGCAGAUGCAAAGGGCAGUGCCCUCGGUGUUUGUGGCGCCCUCGUCAUGGUCGACAUCGCGGCGGGAUAAGGCGUCUGCCAUGAUGUUGAGGCGGCCAGGUCGGUACUUAAUCGUGAAGUCAUAACCGAAGAGCUUGCUGAUCCAGUGGUGUCGCAAAAUGAUGGAGAGACUCUGACACAAGAAAAAUUUAAGGCUGUAGUGGUCAGUGCGAAUCAGGAAGUGUCGUCCCCAAAGAUACGGGUGCUACUGCAACAAAAGACCUUCCAACGGCGCCAGAAACAAGCGUGCUGACGGGAGACUACUCUUGUCUUGAUACUCCUCAGCAACGGCACCAGGAAUCCUUCUGCUACGGCUACGCCUUUAGGGACUUCCUUGGCAAAUAUGCAAAGGAUUCCCCCGUGGCCUUUGAGCCUUGAGUUGGUGUUCCCUCGAAGCGGAAAGGGUGAUGUAGCACAGCGGCGGUAAGUAUUUUCCUCAGUUUUGAGAACCAAGGUAUCGAUCCAGUGAAGGAAUAUCACAAGUACCUGCACAAACACAAAGAGCUUGCACCCAACGCUAUGAAGGGGUUGUCAAUCCCUUAUAGAUUGUUUGCCAAGUGAAAACUGAAAGAAAAAAGAAACAAAGCAAAGUAAAAGCGAAAGUGGAAACGAUAGGUGUGAAUAGACCCGGGGGUCGUAGUGUUCACUAGUGGCUUCUCUCCUGAAAGCAAGUAGACGGUGGGUGAACGAAUUAUUGUCGAGCAAUUAAUAGAACCGCGCAAAGUCGUGACGUUAUCUAUGGCAAUGAUUAUAUCUAUAGGCAUCACGUCCAAAACAAGUAGACCGAUACUUUGUGCAUCUACUACUAUUACUCCACACGUCGACCGCUAUCCAGCAUGCAUCUAGUGUAUUAAGUCCAAAAGAACAGAGUAACGCCUUAAGCAAGAUGACAUGAUGUAGAUGGACAAUCUCAUAUCUACGAUAAAAUCCCAUCUUGUUACCCUUGAUGGAAGCAACAUGAUGCGUGCCUUGCUGCCCCUUCUAUCACUGGGAAAGGUCACCACACGGUAUGAACCCAAAACGAAGCACUUCUCCCAUUGCAAGAAUCCUAAAUCUAGUUGGCCAAACAAAACCCAAGACUCGGAGAGACUUACAAGGAUAUCAAAUCAUGCAUAAAAGAAAUCAGCAAAGAUUCAAAUAUAUAUCAUAGAUAAUCUGAUCACAAAUCCACAAUUCAUCGGAUCUCGACAAACACACCGCCAAAGAGGAUUACAUCGGAUAGAUCUCCAUGAAGAUCAUAGAGAACUUUGUAUUGAAGAUCCAAGAGAGAGAAGAAGCCAUCUAGCUACUAACUACGGACCCGUAGGUCUGAAGUAAACUACUCACGAGUCAUUGGAGGGGCGAUGAUGUUGAUGAAGAAGACCUCCAACUCCAAAGUCCCCUCCGACAGGGCACCGGGAGGGGUCUUUAGAUGAGAUCUCGCGGAAACGGAAGCUUGCGGCGGCGGAAAAGUGUUUUCGUGGAUUCCCUUGAUUUUUUCUGGAUUUUUAGGGAAUUUAUAGGCCAAAGACCUAGGGCAAGGGAGUGCGAGGGGGCCCACAAGCUUGGUUGCCGCGGCCUCCCCCCUGGUCGCGGCACCAGGGCUUGUGGGGCCCCUAUGGGCCCACUUGCUUGGCCCUCAAGCCUCCCGAUCUUCUUCCAUUCUGGAAAAAUUUAUUUCGGGGAUUUUAUUCCAUUUGGACUCCGUUCCAAAAUUAGAUCUCAGAAGAGUCAAAAACACAGAAAAACAGGAACUGGCGCUUGGCACUCAAUUAAUAAGUUAGUACCAAAAAGAUAUAAAAGGUAAACAAAACAUCCAAAGUUGACAAGAUAACAACGUGAAACCAUCAAAAAUUAUAGAUACGUUUGAGACGUAUCAAGCAUCCCCAAGCUUAACUCCUGCUCGUCCUCGAGUAGGGAAGUGAUAAAGAAUGAAUUUUUGAUGCUUUCAUGCUACCUAGCAUAGAUGUCCUUUGUAACUCCUCUUAUGUGACGUGAAUGUUCAGAUCCAUUAGAUUCAAAACAAUAGUUUGCUAUUGACGUGGAAACAAUAAUAAUUCAAGCAAACUAGCAAGGUAAUCAUGAACUUUCAAAAUAACAAGGACAAAAGAAAGUUAUCCCUACAAAAUCAUAUAGUCUGGCUAUACUCUAUCAUCAUUGCACAACGAAUUUAAAUCAUGCACAACCCCGGUAUUGGCCAAGUAAUUGUUUUCACACCUUUACUUUCUCAAACUUUUUCAACUCUCACGCAAUACAUGAGCGUGAUCCAUGGUUUUAGCACUAUAAGCGGUGUGGAGUGUGGUGGAGGUUGCAAGACAAACAAGGAGAAGAUGGUCACAUUGACUAGGCAUAUCAAUGAGCUAUGGAGAUGCUCAUCAAUAGAUAUCAACAUGAAUGAGUAGGGAUUGCCAUACAAAUGAUGCACUAGAGCUAAGAGUACGUGAAAGCUCUUAAAGAUAACUAGUGGGUGUGCAUCCAACUUGCUUGCUCACGAAGACCUAAGGCAAAUUUGAGGAAGCCUAUCAUUGGAAUAUACAAGCCCAGUUAUAAAAUGAAAAAUUUCCCACUAGCUAUAUGGUGGUGACAAAACGUGAGACUCUCAAUCAUGAAGAUCAUGGUGCUUAAUAUGCACAAGUGUGGAAAGGUGGUAGCAUUGUCCCUUCUCUCUUUUUCUCUCAUUUUUUUUGGAUGGGCUCUUUGGCCUCUUUUUUUAUAUAUAUUUUUGUUGGUGGGCAUCUUUGGCCUCUUUUAUUUCCUCACAUGGGACAAUGCUCCAUCAAUGAUGAUCAUCACACUUACAACUCAAAACUUAGAGCAAUGAUGACUCUAUAUGGAAUGCCUUCGGUAGUGUACCGUGGCAAUGAUCUAGCAUGGCAUGGACAUUAAUGGAAACAUCAUGCUAGCUAUCUUACGAUCAUGCAAUGGCAAUGUAGACGUGGUGGCACAUGUCAUGGUGGUAGUUGCAUGACAAUAUAUCUCGGAAUGACUUUGAAAAAGCCAUAGUAGGUAGGUAUGGUGGCUGUUUUGAGGGAGGCUAAUGGUGGGUUUUGUGCACCGGCGAAAGUUGCACAACACUAAGAAGAUAGUGAUGGUGGAAGGUGAAAGUGCAUCUAAACCAUGGACUCAACAUUAGUCAUGAAGAACUCAUAUACUUGUUGCAAAAAAUUUAUUAGUACUCGAAACAAAGCAUUCAACGCAUACUCCUAGGGGAAGGGUUGGUAGGUAUAAACCAUCGCGCGAUCCCGACCGCCACACAAAGGAUGACAAUCAAUAGACUAAUCAUGCUCAGACUUCAUCACAUAGCGGUUCACCAUACGUGCAUGCUACGGGAAUCACUAACUUCAACACAAGUAUUUCUAGAUCAACAACACCUUACUAAUAUAACUUCAAUAUUACCACAACCACAACUCAAAACUAAUUGAGAUGAAUCAAACUUCUCUAACUAUUCAAUGCACAUGAAGGUGGAAGUUUUCGUAUCCCUUUGGAUAACUACCCCUUUUGAGACUACUUUCAAAGAAUAGAUCAACUACCAAGCCACGCACCGCUGUGAUCUAAAAGAUAUAAGUGAAGCACAUGCACCAAAAGCAACUAGCUCAAAAGAUAUAAGUGAAGCACAUGUGAGCUGAAUUGUCUAACCAAAGGAUAUAAGUGAAGCUCGACAAAAUCACGGUCAGUGCAUGUCUCUCUCUCUAGGUAUGCAGCAAGGAUGAUUGUGACACAAAAAAAUAAAAGACUCCUACGAUACAAGAUGCUCCAAGCAAAACACAUAACGUGUGGUGAAUAAAAAUAUAGCCCCAAGUAACGUUACCGAUGGAUUGAAGACGAAAGAGGGGAUGCCUUCUCGGGCCAUCCCCAAGCUUAGGCUUUUACGGCAUCCUUGAAUCAUCUUGGGGUUCCUUGGGCAUCCCCAAGCUUGAGCUCUUGCCACUCUUUAUCUUUUUGUCCAUAAGAACUUCACCCAAAACUUGAAAACUUCACAACACGAAACUUAAACAGAAACUCGUGAUAACAUUAGUAUAAGAAAGCAAACCACCACUUCCUUAGGUACUAUAGCAAACUUAAAUUCUACUUAUGUUGAUGUUGGGUUACUGUAUUUUCAAUCUUCCAUGGGUAAUACCCCCCGAUACUAUCCAUAGUUUCAUCAAAAUAAGCAACCAACACAACAAAAACGGAAUCUGUUAACAGCAGACCAGUCUGUUGAAAUCUGUAUACUUCGUAUACUUCUCGUACUUAAAAAAUUCUGAAAAAUUACGACAGUCUGAAGAAUUUGCGUAGCAAUCAGCAGCAAAAAGAAUCAACUCAAAAGAUCUUACAGAAAAAAAUGAAAAUUCUUUUCGUGAGCAGAAAGUUUCUGUCUUUUCCAGCAUGACCAAACGAUCAUCCCCAAGACUAAUCAUAACGGUUUUGCUUGGCAUAAACGCAAAAAGAAACACAAAAAACACAAUCGUAACAGAAUUAUGAAAGUGUGGAAAACACAAAACAGAAAGGAAAAGGAUAGAUUCAUUGGGUUGCCUCCCAACAAGUGCUAUUGUUUAACGCCCUUUAGCUAGGCAUAAGGCAAACAUAUCUAAGUCUAACAUACUUCCUAUGCAUAGGCAUUUUAUAGGAAAACAAAUGGGCAAGACAACCAAUAGUUACCAAAUGCAAGGAAGAAGAAAGAGACAAUAGCAAUCUCAACAUAACGAGAGGUAAUUUGGUAACAUGAAAGUUUCUACCAUAAUAUUUUCCUCUCUCAUAGCAAUUACAUGUGGGAUCACAUUCAAAUUCAACAAUGUAACUAUCACAUAGGAUAUUCUUUUCAUGAUCCACAUGCAUGCAAAGUUGACGCUCUUCAAAAAUAGUGGGAUUAUAAUCAACUAAAGUCAUGACGUCUCCAAACCCACUUUCAAUCUUAUUGCAAAUAUCAUAUUCAUCAUGAGGCUUAAACAAAUUUUCAAGAUCAUAAGAAAAAGCAUCGCCCCACUCAUGAUCAUUGCAACAAGUAGAGGACAUAGCAAAACUAGCAUCCCCAAGCUUAGGGUUUUGCAUAUUUUUAGCAUGAUUGUCACUAAUAGAAUUUCUAGUGAAACCAUUGCAAUCAUGCUUUUCAUUCAAGGAGCCCUCGUGAAUCACUUCAUAAAUUUCUUCAUCACGAUUUUCAAAUUCACGCAUCUCAAGCAAAACUGCAUAAUGAAAGUCAAGUGCACUCAACUCACUAGCAAUUGGUUCGACAUAAGUGGAUCUCUUAAAGAGAUUAGCAAGUGGAUGAGGAUCCAUAUCACUAGAUUUUCAGCAAGCGAAGAUGCAAGCAUAUUGAAGGCACAUGGCAACACAAGCAGACAGAAAGCAAGCGACAGAAAAGGGCGAACGAAAAGGCGAACGAAAAAAGGCAAAUGAAAAUGGCAAAGGAGAAAGGCAAAUGAAAACGACAAAUGUGAAGUGGGGGAAAGGAAAACGAGAGGCAACUGGCAAAAAAGGUAAAUGCAAGAGAUGAGUUUGUGACACCUACUUGGAUAGAUCUCCUCCCCGGCAACGGCGCCAGAAAUACUUCUGCUACUACAACAAAAGACCUUCCAACGACGCCAGAAACAAGCGUGCUGACGGGAGACUAUGCUUGUCUUGAUAGUCCUCAGCAACGGCACCAGGAAUCCUUCUGCUACAGCUACGCCUUUAGGGACUUCCUUGACAAAUAUGCAAAGGAUUCCCCCGUGGCCUUGGAGCCUUGCGUUGGUGUUCCCUCGAAGCGGAAAGGGUGAUGUAGCACAGCGGCGGUAAGUAUUUUCUUCAGUUUUGAGAACCAAGGUAUCGAUCCAGUGAAGGAAUAUCACAAGUACCUGCACAAACACAAGGAGCUUGCACCCAACACUAUGAAGGGGUUGUCAAUCCCUUAUAGAUUGUUUGCCAAGUGAAAACUGAAAGAAAAAUAAACAAAGCAAAGUAAAAGCGAAAGUGGAAAUGAUAGGUGUGAAUAGACCCGGGGGCCGUAGUGUUCACUAGUGGCUUCUCUCAUGAAAGCAAGUAGACGGUGGGUGAACGAAUUACUGUCGAGCAAUUGAUAGAACCCCGCAAAGUCGUGAGGUUAUCUAUGGCAAUGAUUGUAUCUAUAGGCAUCACGUCCAAAACAAGUAGACCGAUACUACUAUUACUCCACACGUCGACCGCUAUCCAACAUGCAUCUAGUGUAUUAAGUCCAAAAGAACAGAAGAACGCCUUAAGCAAGAUGACAUGAUUUACAUGGACAAUCUCAUAUCUACGAUAAAAGCCCAUCUUGUUACCCUUGAUGGAAACAACACGAUGCGUGCCUUGCUGCCCCUUCUGUCACUGGGAAAGGUCACCACACGGUAUGAACCCAAAACCAAGCACUUCUCCCAUUGCAAGAAUCAUAGAUCUAGUUGGCCAAACAAAACCCAAGACUCGGAGAGACUUACAAGGAUAUCAAAUCACGCAUAAAAGAAAUCAGAAAAGACUCAAAUAUAUAUCAUAGAUAAUCUGAUCACAAAUCCACAAUUCAUCUGAUCUCGACAAACACACCGCCAAAGAGGAUUACAUUGCAUAGAUCUCCAUGAAUAUCAUGGAGAACUUUGUAUUGAAGAUCCAAGAGAGAGAAGAAGCCAUCUAGAUACUAACUACGGACCCGUAGGUCUGAAGGGAACUACUCACGACUCAUUGGAGGGGCGAUGAUGUUGAUUAAGAAGCCCUCCAACUCCAAAGUCCCCUCCCGUAGGGCAUGUUGGAAAUAUGCCCUAGAGGCAAUAAUAAAAUGGUUAUUAUCAUACUUCCUUGUUCAUGGUAAUCGUCUAUUGUUCAUGCUAUAAUUAUAUUAACAGGAAACAGUAAUACAUGUGUGAAUAAAUAGAUCACAAUGUGUCCCUAGCAAGCGUCUAGUUGGCUAGCUCGUUAGUCAAUAUAUGAUCAUGGUUUCCUGAUCAUGGGCAUUAGAUGUCAUUGAUAACGGAAUCCCAUCAUUGGGAGAAUGAUGUGAUGGACAAGACCCAAUCCUAAGCAUAGCACUAGAUCAUAUUGUUCGUAUGCUAAAGCUUUUCUAAUGUCAAGUAUCUUUUCCUUCGACCGUGAGAUUGUGCAACUCCCGGAUACCGUAGGAGUGCUUUGGGUGUAUCAAAUGUCACAAUGUAACUGGUGAUUACAAAGGUGCACUACGGGUACCUCCGAAAGUGUGUGUUGGGUUGGUACGAAUCGAGAUCGGGAUUUGUCACUCCGUGUGACGGAGAGCUAUCUCUGGGCCCACUCGGUAGAACAUCAUCAUGAGCUCAAUGUGACUAAGGAGUUAGUCACACGAUGACGUGCUACGGAACGAGUAAAGAGACUUACCGGUAACGAGAUUGAACAAGGUAUUGGUAUACCGACGAUCGAAUCUCGGGCAAGUUCUAUACCGACAGACAAAGGGAAUUGUAUACGGGAUUGAUUGAAUCCUUGACAUCGUGGUUCAUCCGAUGAGAUCAUCGUGGAGCAAGUGGGAGCCACCAUGGGUAUCCAGACCCCGUUGAUGGUUAUUGGCCACAGAGGUGUCUCGGUCAUGUCUGCAUGUCUCCCGAACCCGUAGGGUCUACACACUUAAGGUUCGGUGACGCUAGGGUUAUAGGGAAUUGUUAUAUGAGGUUACCGAAAGUUGUUCGAAGUCCCGGAUGAGAUCUCGGACGUCACGAGGAGCUCCGGAAUGGUCCGGAGGUAAAGAUUGAUAUAUAGGAUGGAUGGUUUCGGACACCAGAAGUGUUUCGGGCAUCACCGGUAACGUACCGGGACCACCGGAGGUGGCCCCCGGGGAUCCACCGAAGGGGGCAACGACCCCGGGAGGUAAGAUGGGCCAAGUGGGGAGGGAACCAGCCCCUAGGUGGGCUGGUGCGCCUUCCCACUCAGCCCAAUGCGCAGGGGAGAGAAAAGGGGGGGGGCAAACCCUAAGCCAGGUGGGCCUAAGGCCCACCAGGGGUGCGCCACUGUUGGAAUUAUGCCCUAGAGGCAAUAAUAAAUAUAGUUAUUAUUAUAAUUCCUGUAUCAAGAUGAUCGUUUAUUAUCCAUGCUAUAAUUGUAUUGAAUGAAGACUCAUUUGCAUGCGUGGAUACAUAGACAAAACACCGUCCCUAGCAAGCCUAUAGUUGGCUAGCCAGUUGAUCAAAGAUAGUCAGUGUCUUCUGAUUAUGAACAAGGUGUUGUUGCUUGAUAACUGGAUCACGUCAUUAGGAGAAUCACGUGAUGGACUAGACCCAAACUAAUAGACGUAGCAUGUUGAUCGUGUCAUUUUGUUGCUACUGUUUUCUGCGUGUCAAGUAUUUAUUCCUAUGACCAUGAGAUCAUAUAACUCACUGACACCGGAGGAAUGCUUUGUGUGUAUCAAACGUCGCAACGUAACUGGGUGACUAUAAAGAUGCUCUACAGGUAUCUCCGAAGGUGUUAGUUGAGUUAGUAUGGAUCAAGACUGGGAUUUGUCACUCCGUGUGAACGGAGAGGUAUCUCGGGGCCCACUCGGUAAAUACAACAUCACACACAAGCCUUGCAAGCAAUGUAACUUAGUGUAAGUUGCGGGAUCUUGUAUUACGGAACGAGUAAAGAGACUUGCCGGUAAACGAGAUUGAAAUAGGUAUGCGGAUACUGACGGUCGAAUCUCGAGUAAGUAACAUACCGAAGGACAAAGGGAAUGACAUACUGGAUUAUAUGAAUCCUUGGCACUGAGGUUCAAACGAUAAGAUCUUCGUAGAAUAUGUAGGAUCCAAUAUGGGCAUCCAGGUCCCGCUAUUGGAUAUUGACCGAGGAGUCUCUCGGGUCAUGUCUACAUAGUUCUCGAACCCGCAGGGUCUGCACACUUAAGGUUCGACGUUGUUUUAUGCGUAUUUGAGUUAUAUGGUUGGUUACCGAAUGUUGUUCGGACUCCCGGAUGAGAUCACGGACAUCACGAGGGUUUCCGGAAUAGUCCAGAAACGAAGAUUGAUAUAUAGGAUGACCUCAUUUGAUUACCGGAAGGUUUUCGGAGUUACCGGGAAUGUACCGGGAAUGACGAAUGGGUUCCGGGAGUUCACCGGGGGGGCAACCCACCCCGGGGAAGCCCAUAGGCCUUAAGGGUGGCACACCAGCCCUUAGUGGGCUGGUGGGACAGCCCAAAAGGGCUCUAUGUGCCAAGAAGAGAAAAUAAAGAGAAAAGAAAAAAAAGGGAGGAGGUGGGAAGGAAGGGGGACUCCCUCCCACCAAACCAAGUCCAACUCGGUUUGGGGGGGAGUCCUCCCCCCUUGGACUCGGCCGACCCGCUUGGGGCUCCUUGAGCCCCUAGGCAAGGUCCCCUCCCUCCCACCUAUAUAUACGGAGGUUUUAGGGCUGAUUUGAGACGUUUUUUCCACGGCAGCCCGACCACAUACCUCCACGGUUUUACCUCUAGAUCGCGUUUCUACGGAGCUCGGGCGGAGCCCUGCUGAGACAAGGUCAUCACCAACCUCCGGAGCGCCGUCACGCUACCGGAGAACUCUUCUACCUCUCCAUCUCUCUUGCUAGAUCAAGAAGGCCGAGAUCAUCGUCGAGCUGUACGUGUGCUGAACGCGGAGGUGUCGUCCGUUCGGUACUAGAUCGUGGGACUGAUCGCGGGAUUGUUCGCGGGGCGGAUCGAGGGACGUGAGGACGUUCCACUACAUCAACCGCGUUCACUAACGCUUCUGCUGUACGAUCUACAAGGGUACGUAAAUCACUCAUCCCCUCUCGUAGAUGGACAUCACCAUGAUAGGUCUUCGUGCGCGUAGGAAAAUUUUUGUUUCCCAUGCGACGUUCCCCAACAGCCACACCCCUCCUCCCCCCUUGGCCCGCCGCACCAGCCCCAUCUAGGGCUGCCCCCCCCCCUCGAAGGGGGAAACCCUCAAGGGGGCGCAACCCCUCCCUUCCCCUAUAUAUAUCGGGCACUUUUGUCCAUUGGGAGAUAGACUUUUGCCUCUCCCUCGGCGCAGCCCUGCCCUUCUUCCUCCUCCUCUCUGUCGGUGCUUGGCGAAGCCCUGCCGGGAGACCUCGUCUCUCCAUCGACACCACGCCAUCGUGCUGCUGGAGUUCUUCCCCAACCUCUCCCUCCUUGCUGGAUCAAGGUGCGGGAGACGUCACCGGGCUGCACGUGUGUUGAACGCGGAGGUGUCGUAGUUCGGCAGUAGAUGGGAAUCGCUGCGAGUACGACUGCAUCAACCGCAUUCUAGCAACGCUUCCGCUUAGCGAUCUUCAAAGGUAUGAAGAUGCUCUUACCCCUCUCUCGUUGCUGGUCUCUCCAUAGGAAGAUCUGAAUAUGCGUAGGAAAAUUUUGAAUUUAUGCUACGUUACCCAACAGGGCACCGGGAAGGGUCUCCAGAUGAGAUCUCGCGGAAACGGAAGCUUGCAGCGGCGGAAAAGUGUUUUCGUGGAUUACCUUGAUUUUUUCUGGAUUUUUAGAGAAUUUAUAGGCCAAAAACCUAGGGCAGGGGAGUGCAAGGGGGGCCACAAGCUUGGUUGUCGCGGCCUCCCCCUGGCCGCGGCAACAGGGCUUGUGGGCCCACUUGCUUGGCCCUCAAGCCUCCGGAUCUUCUUCUGUUCUGGAAAAACUAUUUCGGGGAUUUUAUUCUGUUUGGACUCCGUUCCAAAAUCAGAUCUGAAAAGAAUGAAAAACAUAGAAAAAACAGGAACUCGCGCUUGGCACUGAAUUAAUAAGUUAGUCCCAAAAAAGAUAUAAAAGGUAAACAAAACAUCCAAAGUUGACAAGAUAACAACGUGAAACCAUCAAAAAUUAUAGAUACGUUUGAGACGUAUCAACGGGCACCAGUGUCGCACAGCCUGUACCAAACCGAUGAGCUCCCGCUCGUAGGCCGCGAGCUUGUGGUGACGUGCGGCGAAUGGUCAGCUGAAGAACGCGAGUGGUCCGGCGUCUUGGUGGAGUACAACUCCGAAGCCCAUGCCUGAAGCAUCACAGUCGACCAUGAACUGCUGCUCAAAAUCUGGCAUUUUGAGGACCGGUCCUGUGGUAAGAGCCUCCUUAAGUGACUGGAAAGCUGUAGUUGCCUCAUCAUCCCAGGAGAAGGCAUCGUGGUGCAACAGCCGGGUGAGCAGCGCGGGAAGAAGGCCGAACUCCCGGAUAAACUUCCGGUAGUAGCCGGCCAGGCCCAAGAAUCCACGGAGUGCCCCCGACGAGUGCGGCGUCGGCCAAGACGGGACCACCGUGAUCUUGUUAGCAUCCAUGGCAACUCCCGCCGCUGAAAUGACGUGGCCGAGAUAGGCGACGGAUGUCGUGCCAAACAAGCACUUCGGGCGUUUGAGGUGCAGCUGAUGAGCCCAAAGCUCGUUGAAGAUGAUGGCGACGUGCUGCAAGUGCUCCGCCCAAGAGGAGUUGUAGAUGAGAAUAUCAUCGAACAAAACGAGCACAAACCGCCGUAAGUAGGGCCAGAGGACGUCGUUCAUCAAGGCCUCGAAUGUCGCGGGUGCAUUGGAGAGGCCGAAAGGCAUCACCAAAAACUCGAAGUGACCGUGAUGGAUGCGAAAGGCCGUCUUCGCAAUGUCAUCCGGGUGCAUCUGAAGCUGGUGAUAGCCAAAACGCAAGUCGGGCUUAGUGAAGAAGCGUGCCCCAUGAAGCUCGUCUAGGAUCUCCUCCAUGAUUGGUAUAGGAAAUUUGUCCUUCGACGUCUUGGCGUUGAAAGCACGGUAGUCGAUGCAGAAACGCCAGGAUCCAUCGGGUUUGCGAACGAGGAGCGCUGGUGCUAAGAACGAUGAAGUAGAAAUACGGAUGAUGCCAAGGCGAGCAUGAGCGCGCACUGUCGUUCCAGCUCGUCCUUCUGCACCUGUCGGUAACGGUAUGGCCAUACGGCGACUGAUGUUGUACCCAGAAGGAGGUGAAUACGAUGGUCGCAGACCCGGGCAGGCGGAAGACCCUGGGGCUCGUCGAAAAUGUCGUUGUGCGCUGCUGCAGGAAAUGAACCAACAGUGGCGGCUCUGGGUCGGCGACGGCGGCCGACAACUGUGACUGGGAGUGGCUAGGGCAGCACCACCCUCGCCCUUCCACUGCACUUUGUGGCCCUGACGCCAGAAAGUCAUGGUCAAGGCGUCGAAGUCCCAAAGGAUGGGAUCGAGAGUCCGCAAGAAGUCGACGUCGAGGAUGAAGUCAAAGCAGCCCAAUUUGAUGCCCACACAAGUGAUGGCGAACUGCUCGUCGCCAAUGACGAUGGGAACCUGCCGCGCAAUCCCGUGGUAGUGAAGGCGGUCACCGUUAGCCACGGUAACCCUGAGUUGCUCUUCGCCCGUCGGCUGGAGUGCUAGACGACGCAUGGUAGCCUCGGGGAGGAAGAUGUGUGUAGAGCCCGUCUCCAGGAGAGCUAGGAGGCGCUCCCCAUUGACUGUCACCGGCAGCAGCAUAGUUUUCUCCGCUCGUAUACCUGCGAGGGCAUGGAGGGAGACCAUGAGGGCGGUGGCUAAAGCAGUGGCGGCCUCCUCGGCACGCUCGGGGGUAGUUGUGUCCUCCUCGACAUAGUCAUCUGCCUCCGGGUAGAAGAGGCGCGGACAGACGUGGCCCGACACAUAGGUUUCGUCGCAGUUGAAGCAUAAACAUUGAAGGUGAUGCUCGAGUUGCUCGGCCGGGGUGAGCCGACGGAACGGUCAAGUCGCGGCCAUGCCGGGGGAUCCUGUCGCUGCCUGGGCAGGUCGGCUGGUCGCAGGCACGGCCACCUGAGGGGGUGGGCGAGGGGNNNNNNNNNNNNNNNNNNNNNNNNNNNNNNNNNNNNNNNNNNNNNNNNNNNNNNNNNNNNNNNNNNNNNNNNNNNNNNNNNNNNNNNNNNNNNNNNNNNNUAUUCCUUUGGCGCAUCCGUACACUACUGAGUCUGGUGCUAACGCCUUCUUCUCCAACAUUGUCCACCUUCAUGGAUUUCCAACAUCCAUCGUUUCGGACAGAGAUGUGGUGUUCACUUCGGGAUUUUGGAAGGCUUUCUUUGCAGUCGUGGGAACACGCUUGCACAUGAGUUCGACCUUCCAUCCGCAGUCCGAUGGGCAAUCGGAGACACUGAAUCGUGUCAUCGCGAUGUACCUUCGUUGCAUCAUUGGGGGUCGCCCACGUCAGUGGCUCCAAUGGUUGCCAUGGGCUGAAUACUGCUACAACACUUCAUAUCAUACAACGUUGAAGGACACUCCCUAUAGGGUGGUUUAUGGACGGGAUCCCCCAUCUCUAUGGGACUAUACUCCGGGCGAGAUUUGCAAUCAGGCGGUAGAGCGGCAGAUCGUCGACCGCAACCAGUUUUUACUUGAAAUCCGUGAGCGUCUCCUUCAGGAAGCACAACAGUACAAGCAUUACUAUGAUGACAAGCAUCAGGCCCUUUCCUUUAAUGUUAGGGAGUGGGCUUGGCUAUGUCUACAGCAUCGGCCGACAGCAUUCCUCGGAGCAGGCGCAAAAGGGAAAUUGGCUUCCAAAUACUAUGUGCCUUUAAAGGUCCUCGCUAAAAUAGAUACGGUUGCUUACCGUCUGGAGCUACCCCCACACACACGCUUUCACAAUGUGUUCCAUGCCGGGGUACUAAAGAAAUACCAUGGUCCUCCACCAGCAUUUCCGCCGAUGCUUCCCCCACUGUUUCAGGGUCGAGUUCAUCCAACUCCCAUCCAGGCAUUGCAUGCUCGUAUUGCUCACGGUGUACAUCAGGUGCUCAUUCAAUGGGAGGGACAGCCUGCGUCUACUGCCUCGUGAAAAGAUGUCACAGCGUUCCGCGACAGUUAUCCAAGUUUCUAGCUCGAGGACAAGUUGUUUCAGAAUGGAGGGGAGAUGUCAUGUGGGGACAACCCUAUAGGCGCAAAGGCCCUAAAUCUGCCUAGUUAUGUCCUAGUUUAAUUAUAGAGUCCUUCUAGAUUUAGGAAUAUGGAUAUUAAGUUGGAAAGGUUUAGUUCCGAAGAAGGUUAUCCAGCCAACACCCAGUUAGAGUUGGAGUGUGUUACAAACGUGUGGUAACACGGGUCUUGUAAUCAGGCUACUUAUAGCCACCCAUGUGGGAUCAAUGAAGGCAAGCAGAAAAUAAUCUAAUCUCCCUCCUCUCGUGCAUAUGCGCCUCGGCGCCCCUCCUCACCUCCUUCCCUGACAACAGGUCGAUGAGGGGUUCGCCCUCGUCCUCCAAUCUCUCACGAAUACAACCUUCGUUCCAACCAGGGCGGUGCCCGUGACACUUUCAUAUCAAUCCGACCACCGUUGUAUCUAAUUUUGUGGAAGUCGAGGAAUUCUGUUUAAGGUCACUUUGGGAAUCCAAAUUCAGAUAAAGGCUUUCACUUUUACUUGAACAUGUUGACAAGGUUGCGACUUUGAGAUUUGGCAAUAGGACUGAAGUCCAUACAUUGCAACGAAGCUGAUGUAUUUUUCAUUUUAGACUGUUGAUGUUAUUGGGAUUGUUUAAGUCCUCUGCUUUUCCAGUCUGAAAUCCCAGGGUGGUCUUCUCCUCGGUUUCACUUGGAAUGCGGGUGUUCAUUAGAAGAUCAAGUAUAUGUUGUCGUACAGAAUUUAUUCGGGUGCCGGGCGAACUGUUCGAACAACAAAACUCGAAAGCCGGCAGUGUCUGGGCAGCCAUAUGCUCUGUAUAAGUGGAAUACAAUAAAUACGUCUUAUUAUCAGCAUAUGUUACCAAUAAUUAAUUAUUCUCUCACCGUCGUUCAUUCUGUUUUCAACUUGAUUCGUGCUUUGAACUUUUUCCUGAUGAGCAAAGCGAGGACAAGCCUUCUAAAGAUGCUGUAAACUCAUUUACCUCAUCAAGUUCUUCUCGGGAGUACCUACGGAGCAAAAUGAGUGAAUCCACACUUUAAAAUAUGUCUACAUGCAUUCGUAUGUAUUUUGAUAAUGGAACCUCUAAAAAGACUUACAUUUAGGAACGGAUGGAGUAACAAACUAGUUUUGGCCUAUGUAGGUUGUAUCUCUGAUGCCUUCAUGUUGAUGUGGACUGAAGCUUGUUCUUCAAUCUUCAUGUAUGAAGAGAAACAAGAAAAUAAACAUGUUGGCAGUCAUUCGGAUUCGCUCCGCAGAUUUCAGUAUAGUUGUGAACCGUCGGUAAAGUCAUGUUCUCUACGAUGUAGGCAAUUAGCCCUGCAAGGGCAAAUCCUUCUCCCAAAAAAGAAAGCUACUAGGAAGAACGUAACAAUAUUCUUCUUGUCCCUGCCAAGAAUACAUAUGUUCUCGUACUGUAAAGAUAUUUGGCCCUGGGCGUCUUGUUUGUUGUACAGCUUGUGCUUAAAUUUGAUUCAUGAACAUCGCCUUUUUAGACACAUCAGUCACACUUUAUCUUCAAGAACACCUGACAACCAGAAAAACAUAGACAAAAUGAUGUACUUUCUUAAAUUGUUAGGAAAUACAAAGAAUUUUGCAUAGGGAAAAAAAGAUAAUGCUACAAGCAGCAAAGUUAAGACAUCCAUCAGCUUUCCAAUUGCACUAAUGAGUUUACAACAUGACUUCUCAAUUUCAACCGUGGGAUGGACAGACCCUGUGCUUAACAGAUUAUAGUGCACCUACAGAUCAGGUAGGCACAAAUAAUAUAAAAUUAGAAAAUAUAAGCGGCUCGCAGGCCCGGCCCGCUACAAGAAUCCAAACAUGAAACUGGUAUUGGGUCACUCCAUCAACGAUCAAACAAACGGAAGUUCAUAGUUUGCACAUCGCUGGGUUACAGUCUUGUGAGACUUGGUGUUAUCCAUAUGGGAUUAGGCCAGUUGGACCAAAGCUGAGGGGACACAAGUUCCUCACAGCUGUUAUUUGCCAAGUCAUAGAUUCCAAUAUCACGACGAUUAUCCUUCCAACCAAAAAGAUAUGGCUCACAAUCAUCUGUAAAAUAGGCAUGGUUUGCUUUCAGAUGUGGAUACUCCUCAACACUUAGACAAAGUGUUUGGUUGCGCCCAAGAAGCAACACAUGAUCAUCCAAGCUAUCUAUCCCCACAAGCUUUUUAGCCGCGGUGUCAACUUUAAAUAUCAUGAUAUUUCUGGUGUUGAUCACAUCUGUUGCAGGGUCAGUAACUUCAACAUACUCACUAGCUUCUUGGCUUCUCCAGACUUGAAGUAGACCACCACAUGGAGCCUGGACAACAUAAAUAUUUUCAUAUAUAUCGUCUUUUGUAAUGUCCAUGAUUAUCUCUGUUGUGACCACAGGGCCUCUGAGAUUGAAGGCGAGAAUUUUCCCUUGUGCUGUCACUGCAUAUAAUAGGCCAUCCUUGUAGAUGCAGUCAUGAAAAAAAAGAUUGUUGUGGCAGCUGUUGAAAUUUGGAGGUGGGCCUUAGGCCCACUAGAGAAUUUCAGAAAAUCUAAAGGGCCCAUGUAGGUGGUGGCAUGGCAAGGUGGUGGGAGUUUAGUCCCACCCCGCUAGUGGAGGAGAGUUUGGACCCCUUUAUAAGGGUCUCUCUUCCACAUGCUAUUGGAGAGUGAGAAGAGAAGGUGCCCUCGCGCACUCCUCCUCCGCCGCCACGCCUCGGGUUGCGGGAAUGAGCCGAGCCGAGCUCAUACCUACGCGCUUAUUUUUGCCGGUCAGGAACGGAGAAUACGUAACGGACGUCGGAUCGUGAUCGUUACCGACUCGGACUCUCCACCCAGCCGCCUUUAUAAGCACGCGAUCGCCUACCUAGCCGUCACGAAAUCAGAUCACAUCUGCCUCACGCGUUCGUUCCUUGAACUGCUGCUGCCGCCGGCGACUCCGUCCCGUUUACCGCGUACACGGUCGACGGGAGAGCAGGCCUCCGAAACCUCGCCUCUCCGGUUCCUGUACGGGAGAGGGGCGAUUAGGUUUUUGGGGAGCGAUCACGCGACUGCUCGCCUCCGUCCGUCUGCUUCGUCUACGUCCGCGUCGCCCUCGUCAUCGCCAUGUCUUCACCAAGCGAAGCUGAUCGUCUCCGCGAGGAAGCCGAGAAGAAGACGGCAGAGGAUACUGCCUCUGCCGCCGCCGCCGCUGCUGCUGCUACGGCCAACUGGCCGAUUGGAGGGUAUGACUCGUUUAUCCUCUUGUUCGUAUUUAUUCUAGCAGUACUACUUGUUUGCAUAGAUGUAUCCACUAUAUGCGUAGUAUGUGCUAGGUUAGCUCAAGAUCAGUAUGUCAUUAGUCUAGUCAAUGCCAUGCUAGUUAUUAUUUUGUGGAUUAAUCUACUCGGAAAAUUGCCUAUUUACUCAACAGCAGCCAGGUCCACUUGUGAUCCCCUAGCCUAGCAAAUGAAAGCUGCCCAUAUGGAUUGUGGAUAAGAACCACGAUAUGUCCAUCUGCAGAUGCAUCAUAAAAUACAAAUGCCUUUCUGUGGAGGUGGUUCCGUAGCUCGCCAAGAGCAAGGAUUGAAGGUCGGUCAGUACAUCGCCCAUGUAUGCGCCGCGCGUAAUGCUACUUACAUAAGGCGCCUGCGUCAUUAAAAAUGGGAGUCACAUGCUCGAUGGUGAUCACUGACGGGAGAGCGAUCUGUUGACAGGUGACUGGAUUCAGAAGAUGCAUCUCAGACCUCUCAUCGGCAGUAACCAGCCAGCCAUUUGAGGAGCCGAUCAGAUGCCUGGUGUGGAUUGGUGGCUCCGGGAGAGUCAGUUUGUAUGACCUCUUCUCUGCAAGGCUGUAGAAGAACGCAACGCUCUCACCAGCAGAUUCAGAUGUGUAGAGGAGGCACGGCGUCUGGGGCCGGUUGUACAGCCCAAGGUUGCAUAGGCUGGUAUAAGCGGAGCCCCAGGAGGAGCAGACGGAGCUGGCACGCUUCAGGUCAGGAAUCUCUAGGAGGGCAAAUAUAUCGACGAGGAGUUCGUGCGGCAGCUCUGGCGAUCCACUUGCUUCAAUCUCCAUGUGUGGUGGAUGAAUGUGUUCACGUUUGAGGAAUUUCUUGAUUAAACUGGGGGCAAGGCCUGGCAGCUUGGGCAAAACUCUGAAGACCAGAGAGAAGAACAUCCUUGGGUGUAUGGGUAAACUCCAUGAGCAAAUUGUCCUGGCUAAGCUACAAGCCUCCAUUGAAGCAAACCUUUUGACUUCCAAGCUACAACCUCUGAUCCCCACCUAAGCUGAAGUUGCAACCUUUGAUUUGAUACUCCGAGGUCAGAGGGCCUGCCGGCCUGGGUACUACAGUACUUAUGUGGAUGCCUCAGUACUAAUUCGACUAGGUUCUGGCAAUCCGAGUCCAGAAACGCCACUGGCAUCGCCCGAAUUCUUCACCACAUCCUUGUCUGUUCGGACUCUGAAUCGAACUGGUAGAUGCAACAACUCCGAGUGUCCGGUCCUCUCUCUUCUCUUCUCUUCUCUUCUACAAGCGGGCUCCAAUUCUGAAAGAUGGAAGAGGACAAGUACCCGCGGGACGCAUGUAGCUCGACGGAUGACCGCGUCGGCGACCAACGGCCGCGAUCUGGGGCUUCGUGCAGCCGCCGUCGUCCAUCGCCGGCAGCGGCCGUAACAGAGAGGCAGGCGGUGGGCGUGGGAUUAUGUGCUGUGUUGCGGUCGGAAGGCUAGGGGGUGGCAGUGGAGAAAGAUGGGCAGGUGGGGGUUCGUCGGCGGCAGUGCCUCGUCGGGCGGCGGCGGCGGAACCUAGGCCAUGUUUGGAUCCUAGGGUUAGAGUUAGAGUUGGUUAGAUUGAACUCAUCUAACCCUCAAAAAUCCAAACAGGGUGGGUUAGAGUGGGUUACAUGCAUCUAACCCACCCUAAAAAUCUAACCCAUUCAAGAGGUGCUUUUUUGGGUUAGAGUUAGGUGAGGCCUAGAAAAAGUUAUUUUUCUCUCUCCCUCCACCACACAAAAUCCUAGAUAAAGAAGCCAAAUGAUUGAAAAAAGUGCAUUUAUUGGCAAUCUAACCCUUCCAUCCAAACACCUCUUUGGUUAGAGUUAGUUCAGGGUUAGUAUAGAGUUAGAAUCUAACUCUAACCUCUAACCGAGUUAGAGUAUCCAAACAGGGCCCUAAUCAAACAGCGGUGUUGGACUAUUUUCUUUUUCUUUUUGGUUGGACGGGUAGUACAGUAGUACGAGUACUACUCACUCCGUACCUAAAUACUCCCUCCGUUCCUAAACAUAACACCUUUUAGAGAUUGCACUAUAAACUACAUACGGAUGUAUUUAAACAUAUUUUAAAGUAUAUAUUCAUUCAUUUUGCUUCGUAUGUAGUCUCCUAGUGAAAUCUCUAAAAGGUCUUAUAUUUUGAAACGAAGGGAGUAUAAGUCUUUUAAGAUAUUUCACUAGGUGUCUAUAUGUGAAGCAAAAUGAGUGAAUUUAUACUCUAAAAUAUGUCUAUAUACAUCUGUAUGUAGUUCAUUAGUGAAACCUCUAGAAAGACUUAUAUUUAGGAUAGUACUCCCUCCGGUCCUUUUUACUUCGCAUAUUAGAUUUCGGUCAAGUCAAAGUUUGACUAAAUUUAUAUUAAAAAAUAUCAAUAUGUACAAUAUCAAAUAUAUACAUUAUGAAACUAUAUUUCGUAAAGAAUCUAACAAUAUUAAUUUGCCAUGGUGAAUGUUGAUAAUUUUUUCUAUAAGUUUGGUCAAAGUAGAGAUACUUUGACUUCGGACAAAACUUAUAUGCAGACUAAAAAGGACCGGAGGAAGUAUCUACAGUGGAGAGCGGCUCGGGUCUAUUUAGCUCCUAUUCGGAGACCCUCCGCUCCACAGCUCCGGAAGCGGAGCUGGUGAAGAUAUAGUUGAAAAUAUGAGAGCUCAGUUUUCCAGCUCCGUAGAUUCUAGGAGCCAGUCGAUUAUCGAACAGGGCCUUAGUUCGUCGCGUCCAGCCUCAUAAUCAUGUGCAUAUUAGCCAGCAAAAAUCCAUAGUUUUACAAAUCUUGUAUUUUCCAUCACAUCAAAAAUCUAAGAGUGAUAAUAAACAUUGAUUAGCACGUUUUGAUGUGGCAAAUCAUCCGCAUGACGAGAGGGCGGGAGACGGCGCGUGUAACAGUCAGUCCAACCGCGCGAGUCAGAAUGUUUUUGUAAAGGAAACAUUUCCCCUCUCUCCACUUUUGUGUUCACUCUGUCACUCCUCUCUAUCCACUCUCGCGAACACUCCCCUCUUUACCAUCUGCACCGUCAACGAUGAUGUCGCUCACCCUCGAUGCUAGGCUGUAAUGUCUUUCUAGAAAGACAAGGAGGGCAUCAGCAAGAAGGAGUUGACCUACAUCAGCAUAGACAUGGAUUUGUGGUUAUGCUUUUUUUUCAUUGAUUUGGGUUAGGGUUCGUGUUUGGAUAUUUAAAUUUCCAUUGCCAUUUGAGGUCUUUGAUACGUCCAUUUUGCAUCAUGCUUUCAUGUUGAUAUUUAUCGCUUUAUGGACUGUUAUUAUACUUUGUGGUACCAUACUUAUGUCUUUUCUCUCUUAUUUUGCAAGGUUUAUUUGAAGAGGGAGAAUACCGGCAGCUAGAAUGCUGGACUGGAAAAGGAGCAACUUUGAGUCCUUUAUUCUGCGCAACUCCAAAUGCCCUGAAAAUCAACGUGGAAUUUUUUGGGAUUAUAUAAAAAAUAUUGGGCGAAAGAAGUGCCAGAGGGGAGCUGCCAGGGGCACAGAAGCCUGGUGGCCGCGGCCUGCCCCCCUGGCCGCGGCAACAAGGCUUGUGGGCACCCUGGUGGCCCACUGGCCCCCCUCUUCUGCUAUAUGAAGGGUUUCGUCCGAAAAAAAAAUCAGGGCGGAGCUUUUUCGUGGAUUCGCCUCCGCCACGAGGCGGAACUUGAGCAGAAACAAUCUAGAGCUCCGGCAGGACGAUCCUGCCGGGGAAACUUCCCUCCCGGAGGGGGAAAUCGUCGCCAUCGUCAUCACCAACACUCCUCUCAUCGGAGGGGACUCGUCUCCAUCAACAUCUUCAUCAGCACCAUCUCAUCUCCAAACCCUAGUUCAUCACUUGUAACCAAUCUCCGUCUCGCGACUCCGAUUGGUACUUGUAAGGUUGCUAGUAGUGUUGAUUACUCUUUGUAGUUGAUGCUAUUUGGAUUACUUGGUGGAAGAGUUUAUGUUCAGAUCCUUGAUGCUACUCAUUACAUCUCUGAUCAUGAUUAUGAUUAUGCUUUGUGAGUAGUUACUUUUGUUCAUGAGGACAUGAGAUAAGUCAUGCUAAUAAUAGUCAUAUGAAUUUGGUAUUCGUUCGGUAUUUUGAUAUGUUGUAUGUUGUUUUUCCUCUAGUAGUGUUAUGUGAACGUCGACUACAUAACACUUCACCAUUAUUUGGGCCUAGAGGAAGGCAUUGGGGAGUAGUAAAUAGAUGAUGGGUUCCUAGAGUGACAGAAGCUUAAACCCCAGUCUAUGCGUUGCUUCGUAAGGGGCUGAUUUGGAUCCACUAGUUUAAUGAUAUGGUUAGACGUUGUCUUAAUUAUUCUUUCGUAGUUGCGGAUGCUUGCGAGAGGGGUUAAUCAUAAGUGGGAUGCUUGUCCAAGUAAGGGCAGUACCCAAGCGCCGGUCCACCCACAUAUCAAACUAUCAAACUAACAAACGCGAAUCAUAUGAACAUGAUGAAACUAGCAUGCCAGAAAUUCCCGUGUGUCCUCGGGAGCAUUUUUCCUCCUAUAAGACUUCGUUUAGGCUUUUCCCUUGCUACAAAAGGGAUUGGGCCACUUUGCUGCACCAUUGCUAUUACUUGUUACUUGUUACUUUUCACCUGCUACGUUUCACCUCACUACACCAUCACUUGUUACCGCUACUUUCAGUGCUUGCAGUUAUUACCUUGCUGAAAACCGUUUAUCAGAGCCUUCUGCUCCUCGUUGGGUUCGACACUCUUACUUAUCGAAAGGACUACGAUUGAUCCCCUAUACUUGUCGGUCAUCAGUCUUCACCUCUUUGGCUCCUCCUUAGUGGUUUACGCGUCUUAUCAGUGCAGGAAAAUCCUAAGACCACUCUCGUUGCUUUCUUCUACGAGUGAGUGACUAACCCGACCAUGAAAUGCUCUCUUUCCAAAGAGGCUACUAUCGGUGUCAAAAUCGGCAGAUCUCGGGUAGGGGGUACCGAACUAUGGACCUUGGAUCGACGGGUUGCAGGAGAAAGGGGGAGACACUAUUUACCUAGGUCCGGGACGUCUUGAGGAGGUAAAACCCUAUGUCCUGCUCGAUUAUAUUGAUGUGGAUAAUGAUUACAGAGUUGAUCUACCUCGAUAUCAUACAAGCUAAAUGUCAUGCCCAGGAUGCGACCAUAUCCUCAAUUUGGCACGAGGGCCUCGUCAGGGAUAGAAGCGCAUCUCGCCGUGUCGCAAGAAUGGAUAUCGUUACAAGUACAUGUACUGAAAAGAAGAGAUAUAUAUAAAGAAUUGGCUUACACUCGCCACAUGCUACAUUAGAGUCACAUCAGUACAUUACAUAAACAUCAAGAGUAAGAGCAGGGUCCGACUACGGACGAAAACAAACGACAAAAGAAGAACGACGUCCAUCCUUGCUAUCCCAGACUGCCGGCCUGGAACCCAUCCUAGAUCGAUGAUGAAGAAGAAGAAGAAGCAACUCCAAAUGAACAAUCAACGCGCUCGCGUCAAGUAACCUUUACCUGUACCUGCAACUAGUGUUGUAGUAAUCUGUGAGCCACAGGGGACUCAGCAAUCUCAUUUCCAAAGGUAUCAAGACUAGCAAAGCUUAAUGGGUGAGGUAUGGUUAAGUGGUGAGGUUGUAGCAGCGGCUAAGCAUAUAUUUGGUGGCUAACUUACGAGAACAAGAAAUAAGAGGGGGAAGAUCUACGCAUAACGGACGUGAUCUAAGGAUGAUCAAAUGAAUGAUCCUGAACACCUACCUACGUCAGACAUAACCCCACCGUGUCCUCGAUCGGAGAAGGAACUCACGAAAGAGACAGUCACGGUUACGCACACAGUUGGCAUAUUUUAAUUAAGUUAACUUCAAGUUAUCUAGAACCAGUGUUAAACAAAGUUUUCCACGUUGCCACAUAACCGCGGGCACGGCUUUUUGAAAGAUUUAACCCUGCAGGGAUGCUCCAACUAGUCCAUCACAAAUUAUCACAAGCCGCAUAGAAAUCCUCAAUCACGAAGCUCGCGAUCUCGUCGGAUUCCCUAGUGGAAAACCUCAACUCUGAGAUUACCCAAAGCAUCACCGGAAUCCCAAUGCACAAGAUAUCACGUCAAAGGUAAAACUAAUCCAGCAAGGCCGCCCGACGUGUCGACGAUCCCGAUAGGAGUCGCGUACCUCGUUCUCAGGACACGACGGAUGAGCGAUGGUUACCACGCCAAACGCCGAGUUGCCCCGGGUAGCGUUAAUAAGCUGCUCUAUUUUGGACCAACACUCAUGAGAAGCACUGGCCCGGGGGUUGAUUAAAUUUCCUCGGGUGCCGGCGGGUCCCUAUGCAUUAUUAAUAGGUUAUUAGGCAAAUGUAAAACCAAAGUUGGUCCUUGCCAGACCGGUCUUAAUCUAAAACGAAUUAUCAAGGGGGUCCCCAUAACAACCCCGAUCGUGUUAGGAGCGCUCAUUUAUGGAACAUAGCACCGGUAGCCGAAAACUAAGGGGGCAAAGGUGGAACAAAACACCAGGCUAGAAAGGCUGAGCCUUCCACCUUUUACCAAGUAUAUAGGUGCACUAAAUUAAAUAGCAUUUAAUAUGGUGAUAUAACAAGGAACCCAUGCUUUCACAUGGAAGCAACUACACCUGCAACUAGCAACGCUAACACAGGCUUAUGCAAGCAGUAACAUAGCCAAUCAGUGGUUUGCUAGGUCGAACAGGUUGAAGGUUUUCAUGGCAUUGUUGAGAGGCUGAUAUUUAACAUGUGGUAGGCAACGAGACAUAAUCGAUAGAAGCGAUAUAACUAGCAUGGCAAUGAUAGUAAUGAUAUCUGGGGAAAUGGUCAUCUUGCCUGAGAUCCCGCUUGGAAGAAGAAUGCCUCCGUGAAGCAGACGAACCGACGUAGUCGAACGGGUCCUCAUAAUCCGGCACGCUGCGGAACUCUAUCGAGUCGAAGCAAACCGGAAACACAAAUCAACACAGGGAAUUCACCACACGAUGCACAACACAUAUGAUGCAUGAGAAGCUAAAACAUGCAAGACACGGCAUGACAAUUCACAACACUCAAACACUACACAUUAAGUGAAGUUCAGUAUGCAACGAGUUGCAUAUUGACGAAACUUCACGUUAAUUAUUUAGUUCUAUCCCGAUUAGGUACACGACAAUAUUAAAUGUGCUUAAACAUGGCAAAAUGUGGAGCGUAAUUAAACUACCUAUCUAGGCAUUUUAAAUGAGGUUGGAAAUGACAUAUAGCAUCUCUGAAGCGACCUCACAUGUUAAUUUACAAUUCUGACCAGAUCUGUACUAACACAUUUAAUUGGUUGUUAAACAGCAAAACAAAUAGGUUCACGUGAUUAUACGCGUUAAAACAAGCAAUAUACACAUAAAGAACAUCUCCAAUGGAGUUACGGAUCAAAAGAUACGGACACCGCAGGAUAUGAUGGCAUGAAUGCAAAAUAUGUGCAACGACGGUCACGAGCACUUCAAAACAUACAACCACAUACAAACAGCAAGAGAAAAUAAAACUACACGAGAUUCUAAGCAAGUUUCAUAUAGGACACGAUCAAAUCGGAGCUACGGUUCAACAACUACGAGCAAAACAAGAAAUGACUACAAGCUGCCAAAAUCAGCCACAUAGCAUCUUCUACACCCCACAACUACGGGCUACACUACUUCGAUAAACUCAAGCAAGGCAUGACACGAAAGAGGGCAAGAAGCACUACUACAAAAAACUAACAACAACUAGCAUGGCAUCAUGGAUCACUAGGGAAAGAAGACACAAAAUGGCAUCUCACACACUAUUUCAGACUUAGUGAAAAUUACACCUCAUGAAAUUGCAGUUUUCGAUCUGAAGCCAUAUUGAAAGCAGCAAAACCUAUAGCUACAGGACUCCAAAUGGCAUGAAAAUUUGCAGCAUGCUAGAAAAACACAAGGGGUACAACUAACUCCAUUGGACCAACCUCAAAAGAGCUACAGAUCAAAAGAUAGAAGCAAAACAAAACAGCAAGAAAAUAUAACAGAUUCCAGACUUAGAAAUAUUUCAGCUCCUCCAAAUCAGCACUAUUUCUAGCAACUUGAGAGCAAGAAAACUACACCUAAACAUGCUUUUCUAUUGCAACUAAAAAUACCAGGGGCUAGACAAAACACCCAAGAACAACUCCCUAGUUGACAACUCCGUCACACGACGCACGGAAUAAAUCCUACGAAAUAAACAAAAGGGCAUCACGGCAAAAUAUCGCGCGAACUAACUUGCUCUAAUGCUAAAACUAAUUGCACAGAAAAAUCCAUGGGAUUUUUCUACCCCGGAAACAUAUAAAAUAUGUGGGGUUGCACAACAAUAUAAUGCCACACGAAAAUACGGGAAAAUAACAUAUAUACGGGAAAAUAAUCUAGCGGCAAAUCACUACAUGUAAAAAUACAAAUGACUGCUCUAAAAUACAUGCAAAAAAGAUUUCUAAAACAUGGGCAUUUAUACUACGGCAUCCGAGCAAUCCGGACUUGCGCGAAAAAUUAAAUACGGGACGUAUCCUAUUAAAACAGCAUGCAUUUCUAGGCAAACAGUGGGUCAAACCUCAUCAGACAUUUAUGCAAGAUGCAAAAACGGAUACUACGCGAAAUUCUACACGAAAUACAUAUACAACUUGCCUCGAUCCGACUUACGGUUUAAAAUCUACGGACGUUUAAAUAUCUAGCAUAUCUCGCGAAAAUAAUUAAAUUCUCAGAAUUCUAAAAUAUAACAAAAGGGCCGAAUAAGGGGCGCAGCAUAGAAAAGAUGUGCACAUGCGGGGAAAAUCUCACCUCGGCCACUUGGGCCGGCCUGGAGAGAGGGGGCAGACGGCCUGGUCAGCUCGGGCCGGCUUGGGGGCGAUGGGAUCUUGGCCUCGACCUGGAUCGCGGAGAAGGCUGCCGGCUUGGGAGCGAAGUGGCCAGCUGGGCCUGGCUCGGGCCCAGACGGGGGAAGGAGGCGGCCGCUGGCGCUGGGCCYCGCGCGUGCUCUCGCGGAGCGACGGGAGCCUGGGAACCGRUCGGUCAACGUGACGGCUGGCGAGCGGGAGGCGAGCGAGCGCUGCCUCGUCUCACGAGCUGCGCCGACCGGAUGGUCCAGAUGGCAGGCGGCGCGACGAAGGGAGAGCUCCUCUGCGGAAGCUGGGCAGCAGCCGGUUGGGUGGGAGCUGCGGGAUCUGGAUCCGAGCGGCAUGAGGGCUGCGGCCGGUGGGAUGCAUCGGGGCACGGGGCGGCGGGCAAGGCGGCUAGGAACUCGGGAGGAGGAGGGCUGCGGGAAGAAGUGCUACGGGAGGAGUAUUUCGGGCAUGGGUGUGUCUGGGCCGUUGGAUCUUCGAUCCGACGGUCCAGAUCGCUCAGAUCGGAUCUGAGGAUUAGUUGGAGAAGGUGGAGGCUAGGGUUUGCAAGAAUUUCGAGGAGAGAGGGGGUUGGCUGCCUAAAAAAUAGGAGGGGUCUAUUUAUAGGCAAAUGGGGGGGGUCUAGGUUUAGCGAAAUUUCGAUCUAGAUCCAACCACGCAGUCGGAAUUGAACAAUUCCGAACGUGGGACGUGCUAAGUGGCCGUGUUGUGUAGAUAUCCGGAGACGAGAGGGGAAACGGGCGGCGCGGCAACGAAUUUUAAAACACCAACAAACCUUUGAUGGUAGAUCGAAUACGGUGCCCCUACGGUCGACCGUUCGGGUACCUGACGGUCUCCGAUUGUGACGAAAUUCAACAGGCGGCCUAGCUAAAACAAAUUACAACCGCGUGCCAAGUUUCACCCCGAUCAGAGAAAUUUUUACGCAGACUUUUAAAACAGGGUUUCGACGGUGCCGCGGGCGCGUGCUUGUGCGGUCGGACUCAGAACGGACAACGUCGAGAACCGGCAACUACUAACGGAUGCAAGUUUUGAAAACGGGCGGCAACGGGAUGCCGAUGCAAUGCAGAUGAUGCGCAUGAUGCGAUGAUGAUGCGACAAAAGAAAAUAGACACCCGACGAAAACGGAAAGAGAGGGGAAUCUUCUGGAACGUCGGCAUCGGGCUGUCACAACUCUCCUGCACUACAAGAGGAUCUCGCCCCGAGAUCCAAGAAUGAAAGGGGGGAAAGGAUUAGAAGGAACAAGAGGUAAAAACUUAGUCGCUUCUUUGACAAACGAGUGAAACCAACAAUCCUUGAAGGUUGCAAAGAGAUGAGGCCUGAUAUGAGAAGGAAGCAAGAAUUCACGGAAAAUUUCGGCAGCACUUCGGUAGGAAAAUGGGACAAUUUUUUUCGAUAAGAUGGUAGAAAUAGACAAUGUUCACAACAAACAAGUAAAUAGAACAAGGGAACACCAUGAUCUUGAUAGAAUAACAUGAUAAAUCCAAAAGAGCAACAUCACAAAGCCUCCAAAACAAUAGAAUAGGAACUAGCUCAAGCGGAAGAAGAGAAUGAAGAAAAAAUGACAACUAUCAUCACAAUAGAAUUGAAGAGCCUCCGGACAGAGAAUUGACUUAGUAGUUGGAAAACCAACAACGAAAAGAACAAGAUAGUAGUGGCCUUGUGAAAAUCAUCUCAACAAAUAUGAGGUGACAACCAACCACUAAAAGAAACCAAGGAUAGAUGAAAGCAAAGAUAUGAAAACCUCUUACACCAAGAGGAUACAUUGAGAACUUGGAUUAAUGACAAGCACCAUGAUAGCACAAUCCAUAGGAAAAUCUUUAGGUGAAAUCCGAACCAAGAUAGCUCGAAGAAGAAACCAAGGGUUGAAAAUAUCUCAUGAUCAUAGAAUUGGUGGGUUUAUUUAUCUCAUUCUUGAAAGGAAAUCUCUUCGAGGCUCCUACACUAACAAGAAUGCUAGAAUACCACCUCAAAUGAUAAAGAAAGAACAAUUGCACAUAUAAAUGCAAGAGAAAGGAUAUUUGAGGUUCUCCAACAAGAAUCUUGAAGAACACUUGAAAAUGAAUUGAAACCUUGAUGAACCACCAAGAAGGACCUCCGUAUACGAAUGAAUGAUGCAAAGAUAUCAAGCUAGAAAAGAAUAAGAUUAUGACCUUGCCAGGAUUUAGAUGAAGCCUCACAAAGAGAUACUUAAAAGAACUUGGAACUCCGGAAAAAAAGAUAAGCACACGAGAAAAGAAUUGAAACCAUGAGCCACUCCAGAAGAAGAAUUCAGAUUGCUAUGAACAAGAAUAAGAAUUAUGUUAUGCUCAUUCUUCAUCAAGUUUAAUUGAUGACAAGCAACGGAUUUAGCAUACAACUUAUUCCUCUUGAAAGAAUCUUGAAGAGACAGAGAGAUAAAUAAAGCACAAAAUAGAAGAAAUGUUGCAAGAAACACCGGUAAGAAUUCACAAUUUAAUGGGAACACCACGAAUUAAUGGAGAAACAUGAGAAUGAAGAGCUCAUGAGCCAGCUAACAGAAAACUAGAACAAGGCACCGGAAUAAUUGAGAGACGAACGAAGAGACAACAAUUGAGAAGAAUUAUGGAACGAAAGCUGAAAGCUGAGAACGAAGAAGUCUUCUGAAAUGAUGGCCUUUGGAGGACCGAGAAUUAAAAACAACUCAGAGAAGCACCGGAUAGCGAGAAAGGAUUGCUCAUGACUGACAACAAUUAAGAAGAUGGCACCAAGCUGAAAUGAUGAGUCUCCAAGAGAAUGAACCAAUAUUCGAGAGAAACACCUCUUCGAAUUUGCAAGCUGAGAAUGAUGACGAGGAACAACACCAAGAAUAGCUGAGACACUCCAGAAUAAAGAAGAAUGAAAGGUUCAGCGAUUAACGAAAAUAAAUUUGAAGCGAUCUUGAAGAAGCAAUAUGUGUGAUGAAAUUCAUACUUACAACAUAGUUGAAAAGAAUUAAUGAUCUCCGGGAAAAGUUUAAAAGAGCCAGGAAAGAUCCUGGGAAAGAACCUGUGGGUUAAGGGCCCACUCAAAGAAACCACCGUUAGAAAAGAUUACUAGAAAGAGGGAUAUUGCACCGGUACAAUGAAAACUAGAUGAGGUUAGCACCCCGAAAUCAAUGAAAGAAUUGAAAACAAGAAUUUCGGAGAUAACUUCAGCACCCCGGAUAGAAAAGAGAGGAAUAAAUAAACAACAUAGGCUGAGAAGAAUUCCCAACAUAGGAAAGAAUUAACAAAGAUGAAAAGGAUAUAAUGAACACGGAUAAUUAAAUUAAAUUCACCGGGAAAGAUGACGAGAUUGAAUAAAGAUGAACACGAAGUUCCUGAGAAUCUUCACAACGAAUCAACGGAUACGACACGGAAGAAAAGAUAGCGGAAGCAUCACUGAAUAUAAAGGCACUUGGAUGAUGACUGAACACUGAAGAAAAGGGUGGGAGGGCGGGGAAAACAGACAAUUCGGGACAGAUGAGAUGAACUUCAGAAUAAAAUGAAAGAAUGACCUGCAACAAGUGGAGAAGAUUGAAUUCAGUUGCAGAGAAGCACUCCGGUAAAAUAGAAUUGAUACGAUGACUCUGGUUGACAAGAAUUGAUAAGACAACUGAUUGAGCAAAAGAAUUAACAUUCACAUAAAAAUAUGAGAACACCACUUAGGAAAGAUCUGAAAUCAUCAUUUGACAUCGAAGCAACUUGAAUUACCAUAUUCAACAAAACAAAGGAUGAGGCUUAUGAAACAAGCUAGAACAAACUCAUGAGAAAGAUUUCGUCUGAUAUUUUAGUGGACAGGAAUCCACUAGAUGUCGAACCCCAACCUAACAUCAUGCAUUUGUUGGAAGAUUGUCCUAUAAGCAACAAGUUGAAUUCCCACCUAUGAAUUCCCGAAAUAUCUGGUCAUGCAAUCUGGUACACGGAUACAAGGAGUAUUUCACACAACUCCUAAACUAACCCGUCACCUGUAUCACAUCCUUCAACACACAACCAGCAUCUCGGACCUUCAUCUACAACAGACCCUCGUGAUCACAACGAUACAAAGUAUGGCAGUACUCCUGAACAAUCUGCACCAGUACUAGGGACAUCGAGGUUAUCUCGCCACUACUAGUAUUGAAGCAAUUACGAACAUCCUUCGUUCUGAGAUACUAAGAAAUAUGAAUGAUAAUGAUGUGCUCAAGAAUCCCCUGGAGCUCAACUCCCCUGAAACUCAAAGCAGAUAGGAGGCACCAAGACAGAACUCCGUCACAUCGGCAUCAUAUAGAUCCCAAGAAUAUCCGCGUGAUCCUAAAAAAAUUUGAGUGAGAAGAGGAGUAGAAUUAAAUUAUUACGUCAAGAUUCCUCACCAGAGCAUAGAAGAGGAGAAAAAAAGAAUCCUACUCUCCGAUUUAUAACUAGACUCAAAGCAGUUUUUCACUAGACUCGACUCGGCCAAGUUCGAUCAAUCAAGGGGGCUCCUAGGUUGGUACUCCUAUGAUACCAACUUGUCAUGCCCAGGAUGCGACCAUAUCCUCAAUUUGGCACGAGGGCCUCGUCAGGGAUAGAAGCGCAUCUCGUCGUGUCGCAAGAAUGGAUAUCAUUACAAGUACAUGUACUGAAAAGAAGAGAGAUAUAUAAAGAAUUGGCUUACACUCGCCACAUGCUACAUCAGUACAUUACAUAAACAUCAAGAGUAAGAGCAGGGUACGACUACGGACGAAAACAAACGACAAAAGAAGAACGACGUCCAUCCUUGCUAUCCCAGACUGCCGGCCUGGAACCCAUCCUAGAUCGAUCAAGAAGAAGAAGAAGAACAAGAAGAAGAAGCAACUCCAAAUGAACAAUCAACGCGCUCGCGUCAAGUAACCUUUACCUGUACCUGCAACUAGUGUUGUAGUAAUCUGUGAGCCACAGGGGACUCAGCAAUCUCAUUUCCAAAGGUAUCAAGACUAGCAAAGCUUAAUGGGUGAGGUAUGGUUAAGUGGUGAGGUUGUAGCAGCGGCUAAGCAUAUAUUUGGUGGCUAACUUACGAGAACAAGAAAUAAGAGGGGGAAGAUCUACGCAUAACGGACGUGAUCUANNNNNNNNNNNNNNNNNNNNNNNNNNNNNNNNNNNNNNNNNNNNNNNNNNNNNNNNNNNNNNNNNNNNNNNNNNNNNNNNNNNNNNNNNNNNNNNNNNNNCCUUUAGUCCCGGUUGGUGACACCAACCGGGACCAAAAGGCAUCCAUGCGUCAGCAUUUCAUGUGAUGGUUCUUUUUUGGAAAGGGGGGGUUGGGGAUUUUGGGGGGUUAAUUUAGGUGUUUCAUAUAUUGUGUUAGCUAGCUAAUGAAUAGAGAGAAGUGUCCUCUCUUAUCUCCGUGCUUGGUCGACACUUCAUACUAUAUGUAUAGAGAGGACUAGACACGCUAAUUAUCUCUUACAAUACAAUCUCCUAAUUAAAAUUCAACUCAUUAGGGUUCACAUGGUAUUCUCCGUCUUUAGCGAUCACGUGGUCAAGAAAGAAUGCAUCCAAUUCCUCUUGAAUUCCUCGCAUACGAUCUGCUGGUAGGAGUUCAUUCCGCAUCCGAUAUAUCUAAUUUGAAGAAGGGGGUCAAUACAUAUAUAUGAAUAAAUGAAACUGAACACAAAUGAUGGUAAUAAAAUAAAAUUGUGAAUAUUAUUAUUUACGCACGUCAUAUUGUUUGUCAGAGUAGCCCCGCUCACAGGUCACGUGGCGGAUGGACUUGCAAAUGUAGUAUCCACAGUAAUCAUUCCUUGGUUCCUGCCACAACCACUUUACAAGAAAUAGAGGUCAAUCAAACUGAUAGUUAGCAAGCAUGCUAAAUGGUAUUGAUGAAACUAGCGCUUGAAUCACUAGGAGAUGCGUGGAACAUGCUACUAUAGUACUUACUUUCGGGUGUCUAAAUUGCAGCUUCUUCGGCAGUCCCGAAGUUUUUGCGGUGAAUUUUUUCCAAACCCUGUCAGACAAAGAAAACAAUUACUUGAUAUCAGGAAAUGAACAAAGUUGCCGAUAUGGUGCGAUAAUGAUCGAUUUAACUUACUUCUCUAGAAUUUCACUCAUGUCCGCAUACUCGUUGGGAUCUUUUCGUCUCGAGUCUAAGACGGUUACUAGUCCCUGCUCAAGCUUAAUCUCUAGGAGAAUAUAGUGGAAGCUGCGCACGCAUGCAUAACUCAUCAAUUACAUUACCAUAACCUUGACUAAUAAGGGAAACCGAAUAUGCACAAGACAGUAACACUCACUGGAAUUCGUAAGGGAAGAGUAUUAUAGCUUUGUUUUGAUUCAAUACAAACGAUUGUAGCAGGUUGGCCUCGGUAUCUUUGGCCUGAGAUUUAAUCAUAAAUGCAUCCACGAGAUUUGUGUUAAUGAACCCAAUAUCACCGAUUUGUCUUUUCUUCAAUUCGACGAUCUUCAAUCUGCAUAUAAUAUAGUGAGGAUAAUUAAAAAUACAUGCAAUGAAAGAGCUGGCCUAUAUAUAGAGACUUAAUGACAGAAGUAGUACUACUUACAGGCAGUAGCAAGUGAUCAUUAAUUUAUCGAGGGCCUUUAGAUUGAAAAACGGGAAGAAGUCCUCAAAUGGAACCAUCAACAGUUGAAGUCCAACGAGGUCAUGCUCCUUUCGAACUCCCAGCGUCAAAAUAUUACUCCCCCCAGACUCUUUGCAAGUUUUCAUGUACCAAUCAUGGAAUCUUCGCAUCAUCGUUGUUAGAGAUCUUUCAUCUUUGACUAGAGGCUUCCCAUACACGUAUUUGUGUUUGUCCACCUCUAAUAAAUAAAAAAUGUGCAUCAUCGGGCAGGUAAUCUGCAGGAUUGGUACCGGGCAACAAGAUCCCCGGAUGAUUAGCGAUGAUAUCGCUAGACACCUUGAGCGGGGGGAAUGAUUGGUUCGCUUGUUCGCCGAGCUAGGCAACUUUUUUCCCAGCUCGUCGUUCUGCUAACCUUUGAUCACUGACAGUACUUCCCGACCGCUACGCUUCGAUAAAUGACUUUGUCAUAAUGCGCUCAUAGUUGCCUUUCGUCGAAGACUUUGGUGGUUUCUUCAGGGCAGCCAGAGUACACUUUGCUUUUACCGGAUCUAUCUUCUCCUCCGGAGGUGGAUGUUUUUUUGCUUUCACCCCUUCAAAAAAGUUCUUCACUUCGGCUUCCACGAUCUUCGUGAUUUCCUCCUGGCUCCUCUCGUAUGGUAAAUUCUCUGGAGUCUUCAGAGAAGGACCGUAUCUGUAUUGCUUGCCUCUGGCUGUAGUGCUAGACGUCGGAGAAGACGGAGCGACUGGGGUUGUCUUUCCUUUCUUACGAGGCAAAGCAGAAGGAUGACGCGCCGGAGGAGCCGGAGCAGCGGUGGGUCUCUUCCACCCUUGUUGAUGAGGCAGAGAAGGAGGAGGCAGCUGGCUGCUCGGCCGUGCCGGCGCAGGCGGACAAGGAGGCGAAGUGCCGCCACGCGCCGGAGAAGGAGUCUGAGUGCCCUGAUCACUCGCCGAAGGAGGCGGAGGAGGAGGCGGAGUGCCCUGGCUAGCCGGAGGAGGAGGAGGAGGCGGAGGUGUCCAGUUCAGAAGGUUGAUGAGCUCCUUCCGCCAUAGGCAUGCAGUCUUCAGAGAAGAACCCAGCCGAAUCUCCCCCUCACCCGUAGGGUGGUCAAGCUCAAGGUGCUCAAAUCCGUCCGUUAUUUGAUCCACCAUCACCCUAGCAUAUCCUUCUGGUAUCGGCUGGCCGUGGUAGGUUGAGCCAGGUUCAUUAGGUAAAACAGAGCCAACAGCCGCCUUGACUUUAAAUGUCAUCCAUCGCAUCAUAAGGUGGCAAUGUUGAGACUCUCUGAUAGCAUCCAUGGGGUAGCCCGUGAAGACAGGCUCCAGCUGCUGAGUCUGCUCGGUGGAAGCCACGCUGCUUCUCUGCUGAGAUGGCGGGGUAGCUUCAGGGGGAAGAUUCGGCAGGUCGUUUGCUGCGAUCUGCUUCUCGUUCCUCUAGCCCUUGUACCCUUUCGUGCAGCGCGUGCAGUUGGCUAUGCUCCACUUUCUUCCUCCUCUCCUGGGUUUUGUAACCCCCUGCGUCGGGAAACCUAGCGUUCCACGGAAGGGAGCCUGGCGUGCCUCGUGUCCGUCCAGGGUGCUCAGGAUUCCCAAGGUCCAUUGUGAGCUCGUCCUUCUCUCUGUCUGGAACGAACGUCCCUUCCUGUGGUGCGGCGAUAUAGUGCCGAAGCUUCGUGACGGGUAUUCGCAGUUGCUCUUCCGUCCAAACGCACUUCCCUGAUACAGGGUCCAAGAUUCCGCCAACCCCGAAGAACCAAGUCCGGCAACGGUCUGGCCAUCUCAAUGUCUCUGGUUCCGACCCCUUUAGCAAUCAGGUCAUUCUCAGCCUUCUCCCACGAAGGUCGGGCUUUGAGGUAACCACCUGACCCCGUGCGAUGGUGAUGCUUCUUCUUUGCAGCAUUUUUCUUGUUUGUCGCUGACAUCUUCUUACUCUUUUCCGAUGUCUUGUGGGCCACAAAAUGCGGGCCAUUUUUCUCUGAUCUUCUCAAACCGGCCGGUGAAUUCUGGUGUCUCUUCUUUGUCGACAAACGUUUUCUGCUCAUUCUUCCACCUCCUGAAUAGUUCCGCCAUCUUCUUAAGAGCAUGAGACUUGAUCAAUUGCUCUAUAACUGGCUUCUCCGGAUCCUCCUCUGGCGGUAGGGUGAAAUUUGCCUUAAGCUUUGUCCAAAGAUCUUCUUUCUGCAUAUCGAAAACAUAAGACGUCGGCACCUCAGGGUCUUCCUUCUUUGGCUUUAACCAUUGCUGGAUACUGAUCGGGAUCUUGUCCCUAACAAGAACCCCGCACUGAGCAUGAAAUGCAACCCUUGUUCGGAUGGGUUCAAUCGGCUUGCCAUCGCGCGCGAUUGCUGUGAUCUCAAACCUUUCAUCCGAGCGCAACUUUUUCUUCGGGCCUCGUUUCUUUAUCGAAGUUGAGCUCGAUCCGGAGGGCUAGAGAAAAAAGAAGAAAGACGAGAGUUAAUUAAUAUGUGUACAUAUGAAAACAAUGAAUGCAUCAAUUAACUAGUCAGCACGGGCUUAACUAAUAUAUAUAUAUAUAUAUACCUGGUCGGACUCGGUUCGGUCACCGGAGCCGUCAUCACGGUCUCCUUCUUGUACCUCCAAUGGGUCACCGAAGCCAUCAUGAACAUAGCCCUGUUCUUGUACUGGCAUUAAUGGGUCACCGGAGCCAUCAUAAACAUAACCCUCUUCUUCAGCCGGUCCUUCCUGACCAUCGGUGUCAUAGAGAAACGACGCAAUGACAUCACUUCCUUGUGCGGUUAUCUCCCCCAACAUCGCUUCUGUUGCUUCCUCUCGGGAGUGAUCCAUAGUUUUUGCAAAUAUUUACAACAUGUCAAUUAUUAUUCAAACAUGGUACAGAUGGAUAUAUAUUAGUGGAAAACGUAGAACUAGCUAGCUAAUCACAAUAAGGAAUCAUGUUAGUGGCCUCGACGCUGCUUCUCUAGGGUUUGGGGUGGCCUAGACAACGCUUCAAGGGUUUGGGGUGGCCUCGACACAACGCUUCAAGGGUUUUGGGUGGCCUCGACGACAAUGCUCUUUUAACUUGGUAAAUUUGGGUGGCCUCGAGAGAGUUUGUUGGGUAGGGGCGCGGCGGGAGGGGGUAGGAGACCAACAUCGUUUUUUUCUCUAGGGUUUGGGUGUACUCUAGAGUUUUUGGUCGAGCGAGAAGGCCGAGGAGGGGGUGCUCCCGUGGUAUAAGUUAUCACAGUCGAGAGUGGGUAUNNNNNNNNNNNNNNNNNNNNNNNNNNNNNNNNNNNNNNNNNNNNNNNNNNNNNNNNNNNNNNNNNNNNNNNNNNNNNNNNNNNNNNNNNNNNNNNNNNNNUCACCGAGCAGUUUGAGCCCAGCUUCGUCUCCACCGUGAGCUUGCGAGCAUUCCCCCCCCCCCCGUUCUCCUCUCUCUCCAGCACUCUAGCCACGGGACCGACAAGCCCGAGCUCCGGCAGCCGCCUCGUCUCGUCGUCGGCAUGCUCCGGCCACCCUCAGCCCCUCCUGAUGCCCGUAGUGGAUGAGGCCGAGCCUGGGGAUCAUCCGAGUGCUCUCGGCACACGAUCCCGAGCACCACAGCACGCUCUGGUGCGUCUCCGGUGAAGAUCCGCCGCGGAUCUGGUCGCCGCCGGACAGUCUCCGGCGAGGGACGACGUGGCCGGCCUAAUCCCGAUGGAUUAGCACUAAGUAGCCACUGACAAUGGGCCCUAGCAGUGGGUCAAACCCACUUAGGGGCUGGUCAACGCGGGAUAAUCUCCUGUGUCACUGACCAGUGGCCCCCACCUGUCAGGUUUGACCUGACGAGGUCGGUUGACCUGCUAACGCAGUGCUGACGUGGUUAUGACGCAAUAAAGAGAUUUUCUGAUUUUAAAGAAUUCCAGAAAAUGCCCAAAAGUUCUAAAAAUCAUAGAAAAUAAUCUGUAACUCCAAUGAAAAUAAUUUAUAUAUGAAAAUGUAUCAAAAAAAUCCAAGAAAUCUGAUUUUGAUAUUGUCAAACAUGUUUGAAAAUGUUAACUUCACCAAACAGAUUAAAUGAUGAUUAGGAUAACAUUAUUAAAUAAUUUGGAGUUGGAAUUUGAAAUCCAUUUGAAUUCCACUUCAAAUAUCAUGACCAAACCAUGAUCAAGCACAACCAGCAACCCAACAUAACAUCUUCAUGCAUGCUAAAACAAGAUUACCUGAGCAUGAGGUCGAAUCAAUUAAAAGGGUAUUUGAAAAUACCUGGUUUGGGGUGAUAUUUGAAUCUUGAUAUAAAUGAACUUCAACUUAAGAAAUGGUACCUACAUUAGCCUACCACCUUUCAUUUUCAUGCCAUGCUCAUGCAUCAUCUUGUUGCAUAUGAUUGUUAUUGAUUGAUAUUGUUCUUACCGGUAAGCCCCGCUCCCCCGGAAUCCUCUGAAUAUUCGACUCAUGGAUAUUGUCCCUCUGCUGAGCAACAAGGCAAGCAACCAUUUUGAUCAUCCCGAUAAAUCCCAUGUUCUCGCUCCUGCUCUUACUUGUUGCAUUAGGAUCAAAUGCUUCAAAUGCUUUUGCCACGUUAGCUGAACCCACUUCCUUUGCAUGACAUGUCCUUGUCACAGUAAAUAGCUGAACCUUGCAACCUAGCAUACCUGGUAGAUGCUUGAGCCAUGAUGUGCCUUAUCCUGCUAUGCAUGCUAUGCUUAGAGUUGUGUAUGGUAUGUCAUCUGGGUGAUGAACAGAAUUGUGAGAAUGUGUUCAGUAAGUAAAGGUUGUGUGGUUGAACUUGAUUUGGUAAAGGUACCGGUGAAAGGCUAUGUAGGAGUACAUGGCGGGUUGUUUCAUUGGAACCGUCCUUAGGAACUGAGUUUCGUGUAUGUAAUCCAAGAUUAGAUACUACCACACGUUGGGAUACUUAAUUGACCCUCUCGACUUAUUAAUCACUUAGUACUCGGUCUAGGAGUUGCAAGUAGUUUCUGGUGUUUAUAGUCAUGCUGGAGGCCGUGCGUAGCGCUGACCUUGGAGGUGGGCUAUGAUGCGGUAGGUAGUGGCACGGUGUACCAAGUGGCACGGGGAUGGUGGGCUUGGGAACCCUGCGCACAUCGUUUAGGGCCGUGGUAUGCUUAAUAAAUUGUUGUAGAGGUUGUUAAUGACCCUAAUGGAGGUUCUACCUAGACAUCGACGAUGACGAGUAGCUGGUAUCCCAGCUAUGAUCUGGCCCUAGGAUGGGUCUGUAGAUAGUCAGGCCAUGUGCCUUUAUCUUUCCAUCUGUCUGUACUCAGACAGCUUUACUCUUCUGCUGGUUUGUAAGAAUUGUGUGUAUGACUUGUGAUGAUGGGUCGUGAGACCCCUACCUUGUAAUAUUGUGUGUGUGGCUCUUCCGAGCCUUCUAAAUAAAGUUUGUAUGUUUAUGGUUAUGUUGUGAUGCCAUCGAUGUAUCUAUACAUAUCGGUAUGCCAUGCGUACGUAUGUUUUACUUGAUAUGUAUGGGGUUCGAAUACCUAGCCGUAGGCUUUAUUAGCACUCCUUAUAGGGAAAUGCCCCUUUGUGAUUCCAACGAGCCAUGGUAGUUCGCUACUGCUCCGGACACAUUAGUUGACCGGCAUGUGUCCUUCUUAGUUGUUGUGUCUGUCCAUUUUGGGAAAUGGCACGUGAUGUAAUGAAGUCCUUGUAGCUUUCUACGACUCGUCUACAUUACCUGAUGACCGACACCUGCUUUGCUGGGUCAUGUAUGCAUGUCCCUGUGCGGAACUGCUGCUUUGGUUUAUGACUAGACAUGUCGAUCCGGGUUCUUUGUCAUUGGAUUGCUAGCGACACAAUUGCAUACGCGAGUCGAAAGGCGCAAACGGUCCCGGCUAAGGUAAUGCUGCAGCCGUGGGGAUAACCGUGCGUGAGACCGCAAAGAGAUGUGAUGUGUUACAGGCUGGAUUCCUAUGGCUUAGGAUCGGGGUCCCGACACAUCUUCAUCAAACAUAGCAUCCCCAAGCUUGUAGCUUUGCAUAUCAUUAGCAACAUGGAUAUUCAAAGUAUUCAUACUAACAACAUUGCAAUCAUGCUCAUCAUUCAAAUAUUUUAUGCCAAGCAUUCUAUGUAAUUCUUCUUCUAUCACUUGAGCACAAUUUUCCUUCCCAUCAUUUUCAUGAAAGGCAUUAAAAAGAUGAAGCAUAUGAGGCAACCUUAAUUCCAUUUUUUUGGUAGUUUUAUUUUAAUAAACUAAACUAGUGAUAAAACAAGAAACUAAAAGAUUCGAUUGCAAGAUCUAAAGAUAUACCUUCAAGUGCUAACCUUCCCCGGCAACGGCGCCAGAAAAGAGCUUGAUGUCUACUACGCAACCUUCUCCUUGUAGACGUUGUUGGGCCUCCAAGUGCAGAGGUUUGUAGGAAAGUAGUAAUUUUCCCUCAAGUGGGUGACCUAAGGUUUAUCAAUCCGUGGGAGGCGUAGGAUGAAGAUGGUCUCUCUGAAGCAACCCUGCAACGAAAUAACAAAGAGUCACUAAUCGCGGAGAACAAACGAAGAGAUUAUUGUCGGGUACGAAACCACGACAAAGUUAUUCUUUCUGAUUGAUCUAUUCAAGAGUCCGUAGUAAAAUAACACGAAGCUAUUCUUUCCCUUCAAUCUAUUCUAGAGUUCGUACUAGAAUAACACCUUAACACAUACAUCAACCAAGACCCUAAUGUCACCUACGUACUCCAUUGUCACCUCAAGUAUCCGUGGGCAUGAUUAUACGAUAUGCAUCACACAAUCUCAUAAUCAUCUAUUCAAACGACACAUAGAACUUCAAAGAGUGCCCCAAAGUUUCUACCGGAGAGUCAAAACAUGUGCCAACCCAUAUGCAUAGGUUCCCGAUGUCACGAAACCCGCAAGUUGAUCACCAAAACAUACAUCAAGUACUCACAUUAAUAUCCCAUUGUCACCACAGAUAGACACGUGCAAGACAUACAUCAAGUGUUCUUAAAGACUCAAUCCCAUAAGAUAACUCCAAAGGGGAAACUCAAUUCAUUACAAGAAGGGAGAGGGGGAAGAACAUCAUAAGAUCCAACUAUAGUAGAAAAGCCCGCGGUACAUCGAGAUCAAGACAUCUCAAGAACACGAGAGAGAGAGAGAGAGAGCGAUUAAACACAUAGCUACUGGUACAUACCCUCAGCCCCGAGGGUGAACUACUCCCUCCUCAUCAUGGAGAUCGCCGGGAUGAUGAAGAUGGUCACCGGAGAUGGUUUCCCCCUCCGGCAGGGUGCCGGAACAGGCUCCCGAUUGGUUUUUGGUGGCUACAGAUGCUUGCGGCGGCGAAACUCCCGAUCUAGGUUUAUUUCUGGAGGUUUCUGUAUUUAUAAGACCAGCUGGCAUCGAGAACAAGUCAGGGGGGCCAUGAGGGAGUCACGAGCCCCCCAGGAGCGCCCAGGGGGUGGGCGCGCUCCCUGGCUUGUGGCUUCCUUGGGACUCCUCUCUGGUAUCUUUGUCUUCUGGUAUUUUCGAUAUUUUCCAUAAAAAAUCACGGUGAAAGUUUUAUUCCGUUUGGACUCCGUUUGAUAUUCCUAUCUGAAAAAAGGUCAAAAACAAGGAAAAAACAGAAACUGACACUGGGCUCUAGGUCAAUAGGGUAGUCCCAAAAAUAAUAUAAAAUAUCAUAUUCAUGCAUAUAAAACAUCCAAAGUUGAUGAUAUAAUAGCAUUGAAUGAUCAAAAAUUAUAGAUACGUUGGAGACGUAUCAAGCAUCCCCAAGCAUAAUUCCUGCUCGUCUCGAGUAGGUAAAUCAUAAAAACAGAAUUUUUGAUGUGGAAUGCUACCUAACAUAUAUUAUGGCAUGAAUAUUCAGAUCCAUAUGAUUCAAGACGAAAAGUUUAAUGUUGACAUAAGAACAAUAAUACUUCAAGCAUACUAACAAAGCAAUCAUGUCUUCUCAAAAUAACAUGGCCAAAGAGAGUUAUCCCUACAAUAUCAUAUAGUCUGGCUAUGCUCCAUCUUCCCCACACAACGUAUUUAAAUCAUUCACAACCCCGGUAUUAGUCAAGCAAUUGUUUCACACUUUUACUUUCUCAAACCUUUUCAACUCUCACGCAAUACAUGAGCGUGAGCCAUGGACAUAGCACUAUAGGUGGAAUAGAAUAUGGUGGUUGUUGUGAUGCAACAAGGAGGAGAUGGUCACAUCAACUAGGCGUAUCAACGGGCUAUGGAGAUGCCCAUCAAUAGAUAUCAAUGUGAGUGAGUAGGGAUUGCCAUGCAAGAGAUGCACAAGAGCUAUAAGUUUAUGAAAGCUCAAAAAGAAACUAAGUGGGUGUGCAUCCAACUCGCUUGCUCACGAAGACCUAGGGGGUGGGCGCGCCUCCCUGGCUCAUGGCUUCCUCGGGACUCCUCUCCAGUAUCUUUUUCUUCUGGUAUUUUUGAUAUUUUCCAUAAAAAUCACGGCAGAAGUUUUAUUCCGUUUGGACUUCGUUUGAUAUUCCUAUCUGAAAAAGGUCAAAAACAUGGAAAAAACAGAAACUGGCACUGGGCUCUAGGUCAAUAGGUAUUCAUGCAUAUAAAACAUCCAAAGUUGAUAAUAUAAUAGCAUGGAACGAUCAAAAAUUAUAGAUACGUUGGAGACGUAUCAUAUAGCAUGCCACACCUAACCAGAGAGUAGUCAUCACUCCGCGCUUGCGAGACAUUCUAAACAUCUUGGGAUGCCGCGGGAAUAGGGGGGUCACCUAGCGGCGCAUCAAGGACAUAAGCCUUCUUGGAUGCAAUGAGGAUGAGCUUCAAGUUGCGGACCUAGUUCGCAUAGUUGCUACCAUCAUCUUUGAGCUUGUUUAUCUCUAGGAACGCGUUGAAAUUGAGGUUGACAGGUGCGUUGGCCAUUGGAUCUACAAUAUUUGUAAAGACAACUUUUAUACUAAGUUCAUGAUAGUUAAGUUCAUUUAAUCAAAUUAAGUAUGAACUCCCACUUAGAUCGACAUCCCUCUAGUCAUCUAAGUGAUACAUGAUCCAUGUCGACUAACCCGUGUCCGAUCAUCACGUGAGACGGACUAGUCGUCAUGGUGAACAACUUCAUGCAGAUCGUAUUCAACCAUACUACUCAUGUUCGACCUUUUGGUCUCUCGUAUUCGAGGUCAUAUAUGUACGUGCUAAGCUCGUCGAGUCAACCUUAGUGUUUCGCGUGUGUAAAUCUGGCUUACACCCGUUGUAUGUGAAUGUUAGAAUCUAUCAUACUCGAUCAUCACGUGGUGUUUCGAGACAACGAUCCUUCGCAAAGGUGCACACUUAGGGGAAUACGUCCUUGAAAUUUUAUGAUGGAUCAUCUUAUUAUGCUACCGUAGUUCUAAGAAAUAAGAUGAAAAACAUGAUAAACAUCACAUGCAAUCAUGUAGUGACAUGAUAUGGCCAUUAUCAUCUUUGCUCCUUCGAUCUCCAUCUUCGGGCAUCGCAUGAUCAUCAUUGUCACCGGCGUGACACCAUGAUCUCCAUCAUCGUGUCUCCGUGAAGUCGUCACGCCAACUUCUACUACUACUACAACUAACCUUUAGCAAUGAAGUAAAAGUAGUAAACACAUGGCGUUGCAUCUCAUACAAUAAAUUAAGACAACUCCUAUGGCUCCUGCCGGUUGUCAUACUCAUCGACAUGCAAGUCGUGAAUCCUAUUACAAGAACACGAUCAUCUCAUACAUCACAUCCUUUGGCCAUAUCACAUCACAUGUCAAACCCUGCAAAAACAAGUUAGACGUCCUCUAAUUGUUGUUGCAAGUUUUACGUGGCUGAUUUGGGUUUCUAGCAAGAACGCCUUCUUACCUACGUGACAGCCACAACGAUGAUAUGCCAAAGCUAUUUGGCCUUCAUAAGGACCCUUUUCAUCAAAUCCAAUCCUACUAGAGUGGGAGAGAUAGACACCCGCUAUCCACCUUAUGCACCUAGUGCAUGUUAGUCGGUGGAACCUGUCUCACGUAAGCAUACGUGUAAGGUCGGUCCGGGCCGCUUCAUCCCACAAUACCGUCGAAAAAGAAUAAGACUAGUAGCGGCAAGCAAUUAAAAAAAUCAGCGCCCACAACCUUUUUGUGUUCUACUCGUGCAAAGAAUCUACGCAUAGAAAACCUGGCUCGGAUGCCACUGUUGGAGAACGUAGCAUAAAUUCAAAAUUUUCCUACGCCAUAUUCAGAUCUUCCUAUGUAGAGACCAACAACGAGAGAGGGAUGAGAUCAUCUUCAUACCUUUGAACAUCGCUAAGCGUAAGCGUUGCUAGAACGCGGUUGAUGGAGUCGUACUCGCGGUGAUUCAGAUCACGGUGUGAUUCCGAUCUAGUGCCGAACCACGACACCUCCGCGUUCAACACACGUGCAGCCCGAUGACGUCUCCUGCACCUUGAUCCAGCAAGGAGGAGGGAGAGGUUGGAGAAGAGCUCCUGCAUCACGAUGGCGUGGUUGCGAUGGAGCGACGAGGUCUCCCGGCAGGGCUUCGCCAAGCACCGUGGGAGAGGAGGAAGAAGAAGAGCAGGGCUUCGCCGAGAGAGAGACAAAUUCCCCGUGUCUCCAAUGGCCAAAACCCCCACUAUAUAUAGGGGGAAGGGAAGGGUGGCGCCCCCCUUAGGUUUCCCACCCCUAAGGGUUGCAUCAUCCCUAGAUGGGGCUGGAGGUGGCGGCCAGGAGGGGAGAGGGGGGUGGCGCACCCCUGGUGGGUCUUAGGCCCACCUGACUUAGGGUUUCCCCCCCCCCUUCCCUCUCGAGGCACCUUGGGCUGGGUGUGGGGGAUGCACCAGCCCACCCAGGGGCUGGUUCCCUCUCACACUUGGACCAUGUAGCCUGCUAGGGCUGGUGGCCCCUCCCGGUGGGCCUCCGGAACCCUUCUGGUGGUCCCGACACUUUGCCGGUGGUGCCCGAAACAUUUCCGGCAUCCAAACCCAUCCAUCCUAUAUAUCAAUCUUUAUCUCCAGACCAUUCCAGAGCUCCUCAUGACAUCCGGGAUCUCACACGGGACUCCGAACAACCUUCGGUAACCUCGUAUAACAAUUCCCUAUAACCCUAGCGUCAUCGAACCUUAAGUGUGUAGACCCUACGGGUUCGGGAGGCAUGCAGACAUGACCGAGACACCUCUCUGGCCAAUAACCAUCAGCGGGGUCUGGAUAACCAUGGUGGCUCCCACAUGUUCCAUGAUGAUCUCAUUGGAUGAACCACGAUUUCAAGGAUUCAAUCAAUCUCGUAUACAAUUCCUUUGUCUAUCAGUAUAGAACUUGCCCGAGAUUCGAUCGUCGGUAUCCCAUACCUUGUUCAAUCUCGUUACCGGUAAGUCUCUUUACUCGUUCAGUAGCACAUCAUCCCAUGACUAACUACUUAGUCACACUGAUCUCAUUAUGAUGAUGUUCUACCGAGUGGGCCCAGAGAUACCUCUCCGUCACACGGAGUGACAAAUCUCGAUCCCGAUUCGUACCAACCCAACAAACACUUUCGGAGAUACCCGUAGUGCACCUUUAUAGUCACCCAGUUACGUUGUGACGUUUGAUACACCCAAAGCACUCCUACGGUAUCCGGGAGUUGCACAAUCUCACGGUCGAAGGAAAAUACACUUGACAUUAGAAAAGCCUUAGCAUACGAACAACACGAUCUAGUGCUAUGCUUAGGAUUGGGUCUUGUCCAUCACAUCAUUCUCCUAAUGAUGUGAUCCCGUUGUCAAUGACAUCUAAUGUCCAUGAUAACGAAACCAUGAUCAUCUAUUGAUCAACGAGCUAGCCAACUAGAGGCUUGCUAGGGACACAUUGUAAUCUAUUUAUUCACACAUGUGUUACUGUUUCCUUUUAAUACAAUUAUAGCAUGAACAAUAGACGAUUAUCAUGAACAAGGAAAUAUGGUAAUAACCAUUUUAUUAUUGCCUCUACGGCGUAUUUCCAACAAAGAUUACUUUUAAAUCCUUGACCAUAUCAAAUAUAUCAUCACCAGUAUGGUGGUCCGGCUUCUUUUGGUGAUCUUCCUCACCUUUGAAAUGCUUUCCUUUCUUUCUUAUGGGAUGCUUGGUCGAAAUAAAUCGAUGAUGCCCCAGGUACACGACCUUCUUACAUUUAUCCAAAUAUGCACCUUUAGUCUCAUCUAAACAGUGCGUGCAUGCAUUGUAUCCCUUGUUUUUUUUCCUGAAAGGUUACUCAUAGCAGGCCAAUCAUUGAUUGUUGCGAAAAGCAAUGCUCGUAGGUCAAAUGGCUCAUGUUUGUGCGCAUCCCACACACAUACACCUUUUUUAUCCCACAACUGUAAAAUUUCUUCAACUAUUGGCCUUAGAUACACAUGAAUGUCGUUGUCAGGUUGCUUAGGGCCUUGGAUGAGCACUGGCAUCAUAAUGAACUUCCGCUUCAUGCACAACCAAGGAGGAAGGUUAUAGAUACAUAGAUUCAAAUGCGAGAUACUAUGACUGCAACUCUACUCCCCAAAAGGAUUCAGGCCGUUUGUACUUAGAGCAAAGCGUAAGUUCCUUGCAUCAACUUCAAAGUACGAGAACUCUCUCUCGAUUUUUCUCCAUUGCGACCCAUCAGCGGGUACUCUCAACAUCGCGUCUUUCUUAUGUCUUCUUUGUUCCACCGUAAUAACUUGGCAUGCUCUUUGUUUUGGAACAAACGUUUCAACCAUGGUAUUAUAGGAGCAUACCACAUCACCUUGGCAGGAACCCUCUUCCUGGGGCGCUCACCCUCAACAUCACGAGGGUCAUCGCGGCUGAUCUUAUAGCGCAAUGCACCGCAUACCGGGCAUGCAUUCAAAUUCUCGUACUCCUCACCGCUAUAGAGGAUGCAGUCAUUAAUGCAUGCAUGUAUCUUCUGCACCUUUAAUCCUAGAGGGCAGAGAACCUUAUUUGCUUCAUACGUACUGUCAGCUAAUUCGUUAUCCUUUGGAAGCUUCUUCUUCAUUCUUUUCAGUUACUUCUCAAACCCCUUGUCAGAUAAACCAUUGUCUGCCUUCCAUUGCAGCAAUUCCAGUGAGGUACUGAGCUUUGUGUUGCCAUCUUCGCAAUUUGGGUACAACAAUCUUUCGUGAUCCUCUAAUAUGUGCUCCAACUUCAACUUCUCCUUUUCACUAUCGCAUUCUCUUUGUGCGUCAACAAUGGCCCGACGAAUAUCAUCAGCAGGCACAUCUAGUGCCUCUUGAUCUUCAGCUUCCCCCGUUGCAGUAUCAUCAUAUUCAGGGAACAUAGGAUAGUUGUCAUCACCCUAUUAUUCUUCAUUGUCUUCCAUCAUAACCCAUCUUUCUCCGUGCUUGGUCCAACAAUUAUAACUGGGCAUGAAACCAGGCCCAAGGAGGUAGGUGUGAAGGAUUUUCGAGGAAGAGUAAUCCUUCUUAUUCUCACAGACAACACAUGGACACGCAUAAAACCAUUCAGACAGUUUGCUUGAGCCACAUCGAUAAAAUUAUGCAGGCAUGUAAUGUACUUGGCAGUACGUCGAUCAUCGUACGUCCAUUGCCGGUUCAUCUGCGUUAUAUAAUUAAGUAUAUAAAAAACCAUUAUAGAACAUCAUGAAUGAAGAAAUGACCAAAUUAAUACAAGUUCAUCACAUUAAACCCAAAGUACAAAAGUGAUCAAAUGUUAUUAGCGCAGAAAUAAAUACAUAAAGUUCAUACAUAGUUGAUCAAACUAACAUACAUUGAAACUAACAUACAACUAUGUAAAACAUUUAAAUGCAACAACAAAUGCAAUCAAAAUCAUAACUAAGGUAAUAAUUAAUCCAAUAACAUAAUAAUACCAAGCCUCUUUAUUAAUGACAUAUUUUCUAAUCUCUCUAAUUUCAAGCGCAUUGCAUCCAUCUCGAUCUUGUGUAGAUCGACGACAUUGGCAACAUGCGACUCCAAUUUCAUCUUUUCUUCUUCAAAUCUUUUCAAUUUUUCUUUCAAAUAAUUAUUUUAUUUUUCAACUAAAUUUAGCCUCUCGACAAGAAGGUCGGUUGGAAUU